rnacentral:lncRNA from 1 species
UGAUAAGUCCUGAUUAUACUUCAACAGUUCCAAAGGGUUGCUUGGCAGUAUAUAUUGGGGAGAAGCAAAGAAGAAGAUUUGUGGUUCCCAUUUCAUACCUGAAUGAUCCUGCCUUCCAAGACUUGUUAAAUCAAGCUGAGGAAGAAUUUGGGUUCAGCCAACCAGAAGGCGGCCUCACUAUUCCCUGCUCAGUGGACACAUUCAUUCACCUUGCUUCACACCUGGAUAGAUCAUAGAGAAAAACAUUUAUAUACUGGUAGAUAGUAUGGCAUUGAAAUGUAAAUAGUAGAAUAGAGAUUUUAAUCAGAUUUUUGUUGGCAACGGAUGAUUUGAAGCUCACCAUUUUGUUGAAUUUAACUUUACCAAAAUUUAUCCAUCAUAGUUUCUUCUUAAAAAUCUCUAUUCUACUAUUUAAUAUAAAGAACUAAAAAAUUUGAUUGCCAAAUUAGUAACUUUUUCUUGUAAUAUAUGCACUCGUAAAGCAAAUUAGGGAUUUUGAAAUCUCCUUAUGAUUUGCAUCCAAUGACAUUCGCAUAGAAAAGAAAAUGAUCUGAAGACUGCAGGCUCUUCCUUAGAUUUUAGGCAUCCAGGAGAUUUUCUGAUUACAAUGAGACAGCAAAUUUUCUUCUGUCUUGGCUACCUGCUGCAUGUAAUGACAUAUGAUUCGAACUGUGAAUGUCAAGUCUGGUCAGAGUUAGAAAGUUAAACUUAUCUACCCAGAACCAAUAAAUGAUGUUCUUGAUAAAAACAGCAAAUUUCAGAGGCAAUGAUUGUUGAAUGCAGACAGGUUUACAUAUUAUCCUUUAGGUGGUACUAACAUAAAAUGGAAUGAAACGACAAGCUUAUCAGUGGCUUCGUGGCUUACAUGAAGACUACAAAAAAACCUGCACAACUGAAAUUGUAAGGUUGAGUAUGUCAACUGCUAGAGUGAAUUUGAAUAAACAAGUUCUUCACAUCAAUCCAAAGAGAUCUCGGUAAUCCCAGGAGAGCAAUAUGUAUGAAUAAAUAGAUGCUAAUCAAUUAAGCAAAAUAAAUUCUUCACUGAUAUGUAAAAAUAAUAAUUCUGUGUAAUGAGAUGGUUACUCUAAUCUUCCCUAGGUUAUCAAAUGGAAGCGGAUUGAGUAGUAUACAGUACAAACCAGAACCUUACAAAAUUGUUAGUACCAGAUUAUAGCUACUUGUUUCUUAUAUCUGCGCAAGACUAAACUGAGGUUAACCAAUGUCUUCUCUACACGGAAAAGCCACUUCAAACAAUAAAGACAUAGAAAUUGCUCUUCUUUUGAACAAUUACAUUUGUGAUCGGACCAAUAAUGUAUAAAGCUGCUUAUCUAUAUUUCAAAUAAAAAUGACUACAUACUGAUUGCAGAGAUCAAAUCCAUGUAGAAAUUAAUGAAAUCAAAUUACAAAGUAUCAGCUAAUGUUCUACCUACAAGAUUUAUAUGAGAGCCAUAUAUAAAAUUUCUAGACUAGCUUACAAAAUUUGUACACUGUCUAACAACAUAUAUAUAAACUCUCAUAAUCUGUUCAAGAGAUCAAUGAAGGUGUCUUCUUUGCAUGGAAUUGUGAGGCCACCUUCUGGCUGACUAAACCCAAAUUCUUCCUCUGCUUGACUUAACAGUUCUUGGAACGUAGGCUCGUUUAAGUAAGAAAUCGGAACUACAAAUCUUCUUCUUUGGUUCUCCCCAACAUAAACUGCAAUGCAUCCCUUAGGGACAUUUGUACUACGAUCAAAAUUUUUUAAGGAAAAUUGUCUGUUGAGAAUUUGCUUGAGAUUAGUGAUAUGAGGCACACGAAUACCCAUGAUGCUCAAGAAAAAUUGAAACUUCAACGGAUAAUCUCUGGGGAUAUCGAAAAUACAAGAACUUCUGAAGAUGGAAGGCUUAGACCCUUAAUUACACUUGAUUUUGUGAUGAAAUUGGUUGAGGAUAUCACAGUUUUUAUAUAGAAAUGACAAGUAAUGAGUGGUUGAUUUAAAUGCAGAUUGAGUGGCACAGAUGCAUUAGGCAAUAGCACAUGCUAUUCUCUUUCAAAGGCCACACAUAUUUAAGAGUAAUGUCUGUUGAGAGACGUCAAUUCCUACUGCUUCUGUUCAACAAAUCUGGACCUGAUAUAUUCUCAUGUCCUACUGAUAGUGUAGAUAAGACAGAAUAUAACAUAAAAUAUACGGAUAUGAACAAGAUACAGAUAAUUUGGCUGGAAAGUCCUCACUUUGCCUGGAAACCAAGGUAGCAAAUUUUAUGUUGUUAGUUUUUGUGGUCAGUAGUUGUGGGUGGGACAGACAAGUUAGGUACUCAUGUGAUAGUGUUUUCAUUCACCUAGCCUAGCUGUUUAUUUUGUGUAGUAGGAAACACCUGAUACAAGUUGUUAUAUCCAUGAAAGAAAGGGCAAAUUUAUGUAAGAAAUAGAUGACUGUUAGGAUUUUGUGUGUUAGGAUUAUAAGUUUUUAUAUGUUUAUAUUCACAAAACAAAAAGUAAAUAAAAAUAGACGGGUGCUGGUCCCCAGCAUAUGGUUGCUGGGGAGGGUUUAAACAACAUACAGCUCCUGAACUGUUGGAUCAGAUGAGGGACGGCUGAGAUAAAAAAAAAAAUGUUCUCGUCCAGCGCUUAAAAACCGCUGAACGGUACACGUAGAAUUUUUUUAUUUUUUUUGUGUCCAGCGCCUAAGAAGCGCUGGAAGCACAGGCAAAUUUCAUGUGCGGCUCUGGAGCCUGUUAUCAAGUUCUCAAAAGGUUUAUUAGCCUUGUUCAUUGAAAAUAGCUCUCAUUCUUGUUAUCAUUUUUUCUAGAAGAUCUUGACAAGCCAAAUGAAUAUAUAUCUUCUGUCUGGGCCUUGGUGCCUCCGGUAACUCCCAAGCCAGGCCCCUGAUUCACCAGAAUUUUAUUAGGAGAUAAUUCCAAAGAUGUGAAGGGUUCUCGAUUUGCAAAAUUCAUAGCUGAAAGACAGAAAAUGCUAAAGAAGAUUUCUGACAGAUAAAUUAGAUAGCUCUUUUAUCAAAUUUCUUCCCAGCAAGUUGUGACAGUUGCCCAAUUCCAGUAUAAAUUAGGAAGAGAACUGCCACCAACUGGAAAUAUACUUUGAAGAUCCACUAGAAGCCAUGAAAAAAUAUAUCACCACAUCUGCUUCUGCUGCAGAAGAAUGAGAGCUAUUUUUAAGAUAAAUGAGGCUAUUAACCUUUUGAGAACUUGAUAAUAGGCUCCAGAGCUGCACAUGGAAUGCGGAAUUUCAGAUGUUGUAUAAGCAUCCCUCCAUCAUGCCUUGUAUUGCUGCAUCAACAUUAAUUUAUAUCUUCUCUGGUUGCCUGUGCUUCCAGUGCGUUUUAAGCGCCGGACACAAAAAAAUAUCCUCUCGUCCAGUGCUUAAAAACCGCUGGAUGUGUACCAUUCAGUGUACACAUCCAGCGGUUUUAAAACGCUAGACGAGAACAUUUUUUCUUCUGAUCUCAGCCGUCCCUCGCUAUAUCCAACGGUCCAGAAACCGUAUGUUGUUUAAACUCUCCCCAACAAUCAUAUACUGGGGACCAACACCCAAAACAGAUUGUUGAAAUAUAGCAUAAGGUCCAUUCUAGGCCUUCCUCUAACACUUUAAGGUUUCAGAUGGAUUGUUUUUCAACAUGGUAUCAGCCAUCAGGGCUCUGAUUUGGCGGAGGUCUCAAAUGUCCACGUAGGCAUUAAUUACCCCAAAGAUGGGCGCCCGUGAUUCCCUCUUUAACCCAAAAAUGGGACUCCAGACCGCGUCUUCACUAAUUCCUUGAGAGCCGUCAUUUUGGCUCACAACUUCACCACUUCUGAUGAAUGACCUUUACUUGAGCAAUCCUCCUUCAAUUCCUCAUGCUCCGACCAAUCAUCUGCAGAUGCUUUCUUCUUGCGUCGAAACGAGCUAUACGAGCCAACCGAAUCCUCCCUUCUAGAGCGUUCACUAUACGCUGAACCUCGAAAGGAGGAUUCGUAAUCCUCUGUUGGAUACUCGGAUGAAGCAACAUGCUCAUCCUUCUUUUUCGCAAAUUCCUCUUCCCAUUUCUCAGCCUCACGCCUCUGCUUCAUCUGAAACUCUAUCCGUCUCCGCUCGCGGUCAAGGGUGUCAAGUUCGCUCUUGAUCGCUUCACGGUUCAACUGCUCCUUAUCUUCAACAGCCAAUCUUUUGGCCUUAAGCUUCUCUAAAUGCAAUCUCGCAUCACCAGAAUGUGCCUUUUUACCUUGCGGCGUCACUGCCAGUGUGCGUGUACGGCGACGUCGCCUACUACCACCUCCGGUAGGAUCCGAAUAAGCCGGACCACCGCGAGAUUCACCUGCUCUAGUUUCGAACAGCUUUUUGUGUUUUAGUGUCUAUCUCCUUAGUUACUAUCACCUCUCGUGUUUCCAGAACUUGUAUCGUCUCCCUCGCUUCAUCUGCCAUGGUAGAUCUGCCCCCUCCUUCUAGCGCCAAAUGCUGAUCUGCCCUCUCCUUCUAGCGCCAAAUGCUGGAACAGUGUAUGUAUGUUUAUUACAGAGUGUAUGUAUCUAUUCUAUUCUCAGAUUCCAACCCUGUGUUAGCUGCUCUGUUUAUAUAGCACUCUGGCACGUGACUUCCUCAUGCUUGCUGUUUGGGCUUAUUCUUCUUUGGGCUGCCUCUCACUCUGGGCCAAGGCCCAACAACUUCAACAGUUCCAAAGGGUUACUUGGCAGUAUAUAUUGGGGAGAAGCAAAGAAAAAGAUUUGUGGUUUCCAUUUCAUACCUGAAUGAUCCUGCCUUCCAAGACUUGUUAAAUCAAGCUGAGGAAGAAUUCAUUCAUUCACCAUUCAUUCACUAUUCCCUGCUCAGUGGAAACAUUCAUUCACCUUACUUCACGCCUGGAUAGAUUAUAGUGAGAAAACAUUUAUGUACAGGUAGAUAGUACAACACUGAAAUGUAUAUAGUAGAAUAGGGAUUUUGAUCAGAUUUUUGUUGGCAACGGAUAAUUUGAUACUCACCAUUUUGUUGAAUUUAACAUCACCAGAAUUUAUCGAUCAUAGUUACUUCUUAUAAAUCUGGAUUAAUAUAAAGAAAAAAAAAACUUGAUUCCCAAAUUAGUAACUUUUUCAUGUAAUAUAUGCACUCCUAAAGCAAAUUCUACAUAGGAAGGGAUUUUGAAGUCUCCUUAUGAUUUGCAUAGAAGGGAAGUGGAUUUGGUGUAUGUUUGUACCCAGAUUUUACAGGCGUCAGGACACGACGUGAACUGCACUGACACGACGGGAAGUACUGGCGACAAGACAUGUAGUGGCAGAUGGAUAAGCAUGAAGACUGGGUCUUAACAAACCCACCUUUUUAGGGGGAGAAUUCAAAUGGAAGUUAGAGAGGUGCCAGGAAUAUAGGAGGAAGUUACAUGCACGUGGGAGUUAAGUGGAGAGAAAAUAGGAGUUGCAUAUGGGAUAGGACUCUUGGAAGACAAGUAUAUAUACGGAGGGCACAUUACACUACUUCUAGGUUAUCUCUACAUGCUGCAUAAUAGACUCUGAGUUAUCUUCUACUCAUUACAUUGUAGUGCAACUCUAAGAGAUUAUCAUCAAGAGACUUCUACACGCCUACAACUUCUUCUUCUACCUAAUACCAUUAUUUUUCUUACGCAUAAACCCCAAACCAAGCCCAAGAUAUACAAAUUGAUACACACACAUAUAUACAUAUAUUAACAUACAAGGAUUUCUCUUCUUCAACUUAUAUCAGCUGAGUUACACAUCUUCAUCUCCCUCAAAUCAUUCUGCCGACGGGUACAUAGAGGUGUCGACGGGUGCACACUGCUGUUGGACGGGUGCAUGCUGCUGUCGGACAUGAACUACUUCUGAAGCCGACGUCUGCGUAUUUUUGUACUUGUAUCUUGCUUUUAUCAUACUUGUAAGCUGAUGUUACAUCAUUAUAGUGGAUAUUUGGCUGGGACAUUCCCACCCGCGGUUUUUAACCUUUUACAAGGGGUUUUCCGCGUCACCAAAAUUGUUUGUGUUCUUGUCUUUUGCUCUCUAUUCGAUAUUCAUCUAUUUGAUCUACUAAACAUUCAUACAUUAAACACUUACUCCAUUGUUAUAGAAAUUAAAUAGGCUUGGCUUUUAACCCCGCAAAUUUUGGUAAAAACAGGUGUUUGACUGGUUGCUCGUUCUGGACUUGAUUCAUAUUGACAGCAGCAUAUCUAUGGGCUGAGAAUACACUGGUUCUAGUUGGUGACUUUAAAAUUCAGUAAUAUGAAAUAUAAUUUUCAUAUGGUGUUAGAAGUUGAGUUUUAGCAUACAUGUUUGAAAAGAGACCAUGCAACUAUUAAAUUGAUCGAGAGAAAUUAUUACACGCCACAAAGGUUUCCUUUAGGAAUCUUAAGUAUCCAAGACUGCAGGCUGUUCCUUCGAUUUUAGGCAUCUAGAAGAUUUUCUGAUUACAAUGAGACAGCAGAUUUUCUUGUGUCUUGGCUACCUGCUGCAUGUAAUUAUAUAUGAUUUAAACUGUGAUGUCAAGUCUGGUCAGAGUUGAAAAGUUAAACUUAUCUACCCAGAACAAUUAAAUGAUGUUCUUGAUAAAAACAGCAAAUUUCAGAUGCAAUGAUUGAGGAACGAAGACAGGUUUACAUAUUAUCUUGUAGGUACUAAAAUGAAAAAAAAGGGAAUGAAACGUCUGGCUUACAUGAAGACUACAAAAAAACCUGCACAACUGAAAUUGGAGGGUGAGUCUGUCAGCUAUUAGAGUGAAAUUGAAUAAACAUGUUAUUUGCAUCCAUCCAAAGAGUUCUCGGUAAUUCCAGGAUAGCAAUAUGUAUGAAUGAAUAGAUACUUAUUAACUAAGCAAAAGAAAUUCUUCACUGAUGAUUUCUAAAAAAACAUAUUUCUGUGUAAUGAGAUGGUUACUUUGAUCUUCCCUAGGUUACCAGAUGGAAGUGGAUUGACUAGUAUACAUUACAAACUGGAACCUUGCAAAAUUGUUAGUACCAGAUAAUAGCUAUUUCAAAUAAAAAAGUACUUACAAAGAUAUAUAAUACCUAAAAGAUUAAAGAUUGCAGAGAUCAAAUCCAUGUAGAAAUUAAUGUGAUCAAAUUACAAUUAAAGUAUCAGCUAUUGCUCUACCUAAAAGAUUUAUAUGGGAGUCAUAUAUAAAAUUUCUGGACUAGUUUACAAAAUUUGUACACUAUCUAACAACAUAUAUAUAAACUCUCAUAAUCUGUUCAACAGAUCAAUGAAGGUGUCUUCUUUGCAUGGAAUUGUCAGGCCUCCUUCAGGAUGACUAAACCCAAAUUCUUCCUCAGCUUGACUUAACAGGUCUUGGAAUGUGGGCUCGUUUAAGUAAGAGAUCGGAACUACAAAUCUUCUUCUUUUGUUCUCCCCAACAUAAACUGCAAUACAUCCUUUAGGGACAUUUGUACUACGAUCAAGAUUCUUUAAGGAAAAUUGUCUGUUGAGAAUUUGCUUGAGAUUAGUGAUAUGAGGCACACGAACACCCAUGAUGCUCAAGAAAAAUUGAAACUUCAAAGGAUAAUCUUCGGGGAUUAUGGAGAAUACAAGAACUUCUGCAGAUGGUAGGCUUAGACCCUCAAUUAGACUUGAUUUUGUGAUGAAUUUGGUUGAGGAUAUCACAGUUUUUAUAUGGAAAUAGCAAGUAAUGAGCGGUUGAUCAAAAUGCAGAUUGAGUGGAACAGAUGCAUUAGGCAAUAGCACAUGCUAUUCUCUUUCAAAGGCCACACAUAUUUAAGAGUAAUGCUAGGACUUGAAUGUCUGUUGAGAGACAUCAUGUCCUACAAAUCUGGACCUUAUAUUUUGUCAUUUAAAUUUAGGUUUUAUGCGUAUAGUGGAGUUAAGACAGAAUAUAACACAAUAUAUACGGAUAUGAACAAGGUACAAAAAAUUUGGGUGGAAAGUCCUCACUUUGCCUGGCAAGCAAGGUAGCAAAUUUUAAGUUCUUAGUUUUUGUGGUCAGUAUUUCUGGGUGGGACAGACAAGUUAGGUACUCAUGUGAUAGUGUUUUCAUUCACCUAUCCUAGCUGUUUAUUUUGUGUAGUAGGAAACACCUGAUACAAGUUGUUAUAUCCAUGAAAGAAAGGGCAGAUUUAUGUAAGAAACAGAUUAUCAGACUUACUACACAACUUUCUGAUUGUUCUAUAUAAACACAUAAUUAAGCUCACUGGUCUAAAGUCUUUUCCAUAAAACUAUACAAGUCCUAGUGUUUAUCCAGUUUCCUGAACUCUUCUCUGAAAGAUCUUUGGUGUCAUGGGUAUCCGUAUGCCUCCUAUUACCAAUCUCAAACAAAUCCUUAUCCGCUCAUCUUACUCUUUAAAUCUCUGGGGAUAUGGAAACUUCUGCAGGUGGAAGGCUUAGACCCUUAAUUACACUUGAUUUUGUGAUGAAUUUGGCAGAGGAUAUCACAGUUUUUAUAUAUUCAUUUAAAGAGAUAUAUUCAUACAUUCACCUGAAUUAAGCUAAAAUUUUGUAAUUUCCCUGAAAAGCCUUCCAAUCUAAUAAAAAUUAAAAUAGAUACCUUAUAUACAAAUUUUAUAANCACCCAUGAUGCUCAAGAAAAAUUGAAACUUCAAAGGAUAAUCUUCGGGGAUUAUGGAGAAUACAAGAACUUCUGCAGAUGGUAGGCUUAGACCCUCAAUUAGACUUGAUUUUGUGAUGAAUUUGGUUGAGGAUAUCACAGUUUUUAUAUGGAAAUAGCAAGUAAUGAGCGGUUGAUCAAAAUGCAGAUUGAGUGGAACAGAUGCAUUAGGCAAUAGCACAUGCUAUUCUCUUUCAAAGGCCACACAUAUUUAAGAGUAAUGCUAGGACUUGAAUGUCUGUUGAGAGACAUCAUGUCCUACAAAUCUGGACCUUAUAUUUUGUCAUUUAAAUUUAGGUUUUAUGCGUAUAGUGGAGUUAAGACAGAAUAUAACACAAUAUAUACGGAUAUGAACAAGGUACAAAAAAUUUGGGUGGAAAGUCCUCACUUUGCCUGGCAAGCAAGGUAGCAAAUUUUAAGUUCUUAGUUUUUGUGGUCAGUAUUUCUGGGUGGGACAGACAAGUUAGGUACUCAUGUGAUAGUGUUUUCAUUCACCUAUCCUAGCUGUUUAUUUUGUGUAGUAGGAAACACCUGAUACAAGUUGUUAUAUCCAUGAAAGAAAGGGCAGAUUUAUGUAAGAAACAGAUUAUCAGACUUACUACACAACUUUCUGAUUGUUCUAUAUAAACACAUAAUUAAGCUCACUGGUCUAAAGUCUUUUCCAUAAAACUAUACAAGUCCUAGUGUUUAUCCAGUUUCCUGAACUCUUCUCUGAAAGAUCUUUGGUGUCAUGGGUAUCCGUAUGCCUCCUAUUACCAAUCUCAAACAAAUCCUUAUCCGCUCAUCUUACUCUUUAAAUCUCUGGGGAUAUGGAAACUUCUGCAGGUGGAAGGCUUAGACCCUUAAUUACACUUGAUUUUGUGAUGAAUUUGGCAGAGGAUAUCACAGUUUUUAUAUAUUCAUUUAAAGAGAUAUAUUCAUACAUUCACCUGAAUUAAGCUAAAAUUUUGUAAUUUCCCUGAAAAGCCUUCCAAUCUAAUAAAAAUUAAAAUAGAUACCUUAUAUACAAAUUUUAUAAGAAGUUAACAGAAACUACCCUAAAAAUUUCACAUUCUACCUCAGAGAUCAGGGAAGUCAAGUUUUAAGGUGUUUUUCGUUAACAGACUGAGACUGGUAUUUUUACGGACAAAUAGAAUUUGCUAACUAAACGUAUUUGAGAUAAGAACCGAUUACAAAAAAUCUACAAGAACGAAUAAUUUCAUGUAUUCUUGAUGCCUAAAAGAUUUUCAUGGAAAGUCUCAGUCAAAUAUAAAAUGUCUGGACUAGUUCACAAAAUUUGUAAACUAUCUAACAACAUUUCAGUAAGUAUGUAUCUGUACAGAUAUAUAUAAGCUCUCAUAAUAUGUUCAAGAGAUCAAUGAAGGUGUCUUCCUUGAAUGGAAUUGUGAGGCCACCUUCUGGAUGACUAAACCCAAAUUCUUCCUCUGCUUGACUUAAAAGGUCUUGAAAUGAAGGCUCAUUUAAGUAAGAGAUCGGAACUACAAAUCUUCUUCUUUGGUUCUCCCCAACAUAAACUGCCAUGCAUCCCUUAGGGACAUUUGUACUACGAUCAAGAUUUGUUGAGGUGAAUUGGCGGUUGAGAAUUUGCUUAAGACUAGUGAUACGAGGAACAUGAAUACCCAUGAUGCUAAAAUCAAAAAUUUGUAGUAUUCAGGAUAAACUCUGCUGAUAUUAAAAUACAAGGACUUUUGCAGAUGGAAGGCUUAGAACUUGAAUACAAUGGAUUAUGUGAUAAAUUUGGUUGAGUUUAUAAUAGCUAUUUUAUAGAGCACAUAGGAAGUAGUAUUGAACAUUUGAUUGAGUGGCACAGAUGAAUUAGGCAUUAGCACAUGCUAUUCUCUCUCAAUGGCCACAUAUGUUUAAGACUAAUGGUAGGACUUAAAUGUUUGAGUCUUGUAGUGUGGAUAAGAGAGUAUACAAAAAUGUUUGAGUCUUGUAGUGUGGAUAAGAGAGUAUACAAAUAAUUUGGCUGGAAACUCUUGAGUUUUAGUUGUGACAGACAAGUUAGGUGCUCAUGUGAUUGUGUUUUCAUUUACCCAUCCUAGCUGUUUAUUUUGUUGAAUUGAUGAAUCAUUUAGUAGAAAACAGUAGCUGCUGGGGAUUAAUCAAGCAGACGUAGUAGGGCUUGAUGUCUCGCAACACACAUAAAUCUAAUCUUCUUGGUCAUAUAUACUUGUAGCUAUCAGAACAUAAUAUCAUGUGCUAGUGUCUACUGCUUCUUCACCACUCGGAUAAUAUUUCUAAUAAAUUCUUUGAGUAGUUCUAUGUUCUAUAUAUACAUAUAUUUAAGCAUUCGUAGAAUUCAUCACAAACUCAAUUGCUUCAAGCUUUAAACUUACAUUUCCUUGUGUUUCUGUUGUUUCCCCCCAACUUUUCACUAAAAGAUCUGUUGCAUCAUGGGUAUUCGUGUGCCUCGCAUUGCUAAUCUCAAAAAAAUCCUCAACCGGUCAUCUUUCCUGAUAAAUCCUGAUCUUACUUCAACAAUUCCAAAGGGGUGCUUGGCAGUUUAUAUUGGGGAGAGGCAAAGAAGCAGAUUUGUGGUUGCGGUUUCAUACCUGAAUUUUCCUGCCUUCCAAGAAUUGUUAAGUCAAGCCGAGGAAGAAUUUGGAUUCAAUCAUCCGGAAGGAGGUCUUACGAUUCCUUGCUUAGUGGACACAUUCAAUGAAAUUGUAGAAUCGGAUUAUUUUAUACAUAUACAUCUAGAGAGCAUAGCACCUUCGAUCUCAUUUGAUGAGCUUCAGAUUGUAAAUUGUAGAAUCGGAUUAUUUUAUAAAUGCUUAUUACAUAUUUACGUAGAGCAAUAAAAAACUCUGUUUUUAAAACAUCCUUUGACAGAUUGAUUAAUAUAGAGCAUCACGGUUAUUUGUAUGUCUGUAUUGCUAAUCUUGAACAAAUCUUGACCAGUAAUUUUGUUGAUAUAUCUGACAUGUAAAUGAAUUUUAAAUAUUUAUAUGCUCCCCUAGUCAGGUUAUGACAUAAACUCUUAUAGUCUUCGACUCUUCGUUUACAUGUUAAGCUAUUCUAGUCACUUCCACGCUGCACCAUGUUGAUAACUGACGAAAAUGUUAACAUUUAAUUUUGUAAUUGACCUAAAAAGAGAUCAGAUUCAUACUGCUUGUACAAAAUAACAAAAUGAAUGAUUAAUUUGAGUCAAACUGGAAAGGAAUGAUCAAUUUGAGUCAAACUGGAAAGGAAUGAUCUACUUGAUAUAUUUGGAUGAAACGAGUGACCAACUUGAUAUUUUUCCUAAAAAAAUAUCAUAGAAAUAUGGAGUAUGAAACUAGCAAGGAAUGGAAGUCGACACAGGAAGAAAGAUUGAGCAAAAUACAAAGAAAUGUUGAGAAUACAUAGUGGUUUGAUUUGAUUUCUCUUUGAUUCUUUUUCGAGUUGAUCUACACCAAACCUUCUUGUGAUCUAUGUUGUUUGGUUAAUUAUCUGUACAGACAAUUGUUCAUAUUAUAUUAUUAAUUAUCAAUGCAGCCACCCCCUAUUCUUUGGAAUUUGAGGGUACUUUAGAUCCUUUAAUUUGAUGAACAAUAACACAAGCAAACCUGAACAGAACUGCUGAAAAAAGUUCUCCAGUAAAUCUCCAAAUUCUGCAGCAGCAUAAAUUUAAUCAUAAGAAUUUGCUUAAAAUUUACCAAAUUAUACACAAAAUUAGGCAAAUGUAUGCAUAAAAUAAGAAGUCAGCAGAAUCACAAACUAAAUUCCGUAGAUUAUAAGAGCAUCGGAGUCCAUAAUACAGAUUGCCUACUAAACUUUGCCGCAGAAAUUUUAUAAAUCAAUAAGUGUUCUAUGAAGACUUACACAACUAAUUUGCUGUAGAAUAGACAAAAUGUUCCUCAAACAAAAAAUUAAAAAUAACCCUAAUAUCAGAAUAUCAUUCAACUGCCUUCAUAGACAUUGAUACAUCCUUAAUCCUUUGAUGUGAGAUUGCUAGUUAAAACAAAAGUUAGUAUUUGGCGGGCUAGAUUGUGGAUAAUACAUGACAUGUCCUUGUAAAAAAAGAAAUUUAAAGAAAGGACAAACUUAUAGGAGAUAUUAAAACCUUCACAAUAAACGGAAGAUGGACAACAAAAGAACUUUUAAGAAAAUAUUCAGAAUCCAGGAAUAGGCUACUAGUAAAGUUGAUCCCCGACCUUUCCUAAUGACAAGGUCUGUGGUUCAUAUCCACACUCCACUUCGCUUUGAAGUCCCGCGUUAUAAGCAUGCAUGUUUUUAUUCCUUUGCCUCAACCUUAAGGUUUAUGUGAUGGAACCUUGCAAGACUAUUUCAACUGUUGAUGAUUAGCAACUUAAGAAGCAGAAUCAUAUCGUUCCGCCAUAAAGUUGAAUGGCAAUAAAAUAAUGAUAAUUAGUCUGCAAGUUCAAAUUACAAAAGUUAGUCUGUAAUCAGAACCUAAAACAGCCUAAAAUAAUAUAGAAAAAAAAGGGUGCCUAAAUUUAACUGAACUGCUUUCUUAAAAAUGGCAGUACAUCUCCUUUAGUCUCAGAUUUUUACAGCUUGUGCAAUCACAUAUGCACAUAUCUAAAAUUUUAUGAGGCUCGUGGUUCGUGAUGUUAAAUGAGACCUUGGUUGUCAGAACUGUGCUGCUGCUACUGGACAUAAAAGAGAACUGUAUUAUUGUUUGCUGCUAUAUUUAUCGGAAUGUUUAACAUAGCAUACUUCAUUCAGAGAAUAUAGAAUAUGAGAUUGACUCCUAAAAUUGACAAAAUCUUGACAGCAGAUGCAAUACAAAUCUGGAAAAAAAGCGCAUAAAAAAAAGUUGCGGACUAAUGGGAAAAACUUUAGCAUUCAGAAUAUUAUGUAGACAUAUCACAAAACAGAAAAUCCUCAUAUUCUGCAAACUAUGCUAAAAUCUGCAGUAAAUCUCUGAAUUAUGCAGAAACCCAGACUCUAUUUCUCUUAAGUUCUUUUGGAUUAUAUCGAGAAACUAAGUUGAUCGAAAAACCUUUAUCUCGCACAUCUACUUUCUGUAAUUCGACUUUAAAAACAAACUAAAAAUUGCACAUUUUUCUCCUUUUUACCCUUAACAAAAACAUUUCAUGAAUAUCCAUCAAGUCUAUAAUAAUUAAAAUUUCAAUAGUAGAAAUUAACUUAUAUACUUGCUUAUGCGGAGAACGGAUUAUAGGUUAGUUUCUAACUAAUUAAUCAAUAUAUUUCCUUGUAUAAUUUAAUUUAUAGGUCAUUUAUUUUCAUGAAUAUUCUUCAAAAGGCUAGGAACCUGCCCACUGGCUCCAUAGCCAACACAGGUAGGUAAUUCGGAGUCUCGGACUAACCGAGCGAUAAGACCCGGUGGGUGGGAACUUCCUUGCGAUACGCACGGAUAGGAACCCGAUCCCCUUUCUUCUGUCUCUUCAACUCGGGUGAACGUCAGGGAGCUGGUGAGGUUCGAACCCAUGACCCUUUGGAUCAAAGCAAGGCCCCGUUUCCACUGGGACAGCUCUCACACUUAUUUUCAAGAAUAUUGCUUUACAUCAAAUCAAGUUAAAAUUUUAUAAUUUCGAUAAAAACCCUUGAAUUGGAAAUAAUUAAAAGAAAAAUAACUUACAUAAAAAUUUAAGAUAAUUAUGCAAAAAAAUACCCCAACAAUUUGAUAUUCUACGUCGAGGAUAAUUUAAGUUUCAAAGCAAAUAAAUAUUUAUGUUUUUAUCAUAUUCACAGAUGGACUUUGCUGUUUAAUUGAGUAUAUACAUAUAGUAUGUAUGAGUUUAUAACCAGUGAUACAGAACACCUUCAAGAAAGAAUAAUUUCAAGAAUUAACACUCAAAUUUUUUUUAGUACUGCAAUUCAUUUCUCAUACAAUGCUCAAGCAAGAAGUGAGUUAAAGGAACAUGUCUACUCUACAUGGAAUAGUAAGACCACCUUCUACAUGAUCAGAUAAAGAUUUCAAGAGAGACUAGCACAUGGGUCUGUAUUUAUGUUACCCUACUGCUUCUUGUACCACUAAAUACAUGCUUCAGACAAGGAUUAGAAUGUUGAUUUUAUGUUUGAUUAUGUUAAAAAUUCAAAUAACUGGACACCUAACUAUUAAAGGCAGAGCUAUCAGACAACUAAGAAAUUUGAUUAUCCUUGGUAUUUGUAGGGCAAGUUGUGUCUUGGUAAGCAGAGAAUAUAUCCCAAACUCCUCCAACCUUGCUAUACAUUCUCUAUUUGUAGGACAUCACCAUGUGCUACUGACUUAUUAUUUCGUUUUCAUUGUUCAAGAAACCUUCUAUAUAAACAUAGGGACUUUGACAUAAAUCAACACAAGCAUACAAGCAAACCUUCAUUUCUUUUAUCAAGCAUCGUCUCAUCCUUUCCUUCUCGACAUCCACUUUAAAAAUACCAACUUAGAAACAUGGGUAUCCGCAUGCCUCGUAUUCCUCAUGUCAAGAAAAUCUUUCAGGGGUCUUCUUUGGCAACUACAGCAGUUUCAGACAUCCCAAAGGGCUGCUUGGCAGUUUAUGUUGGGGAGAGCCAAAGAAAAAGAUUUGUUGUUCCAAUUUCAUACUUGGCUGAGCCUGCCUUCCAGGACUUGCUAUGUCAAGCUGAGGAAGAAUUCGGUUUUGAUCAUCCAGAGGGGGGUCUUACAAUUCCCUGCAGAGAAGAUGUAUUUACAGAUCUCGCCUCAAGCUUGAGAAGAAAAUCAUAGAGAAGAACAUAAUCAAAAAAGUAGUUUAGAAAUUUUUUGUAAGCUAGUAGGAGAUAAGUUAGAAUAGGUUGGACCAAAGGCAUAAUUAUGCAAAUACUUUCUUCUGGUAUCUCAUGGAAUCAUUUUCAAUGAGGAAGAUCAUUACUUAAAAUUUUGUAAAAUAUUAAACUAUAUACUUCCCAUUAUAAUUUUAUGAUCUAACUAUGUUGUUUGCAAAUAACUUCCUAUCUGUAAUCAGUUCCACGUUAUUCUCAAAUUGAUCGAAAUUGGCAUAUAAGAUUGUGUUAACAGAUAAAUUUAUUGAAAAUCGAUAUGGGAGAAAGAAGCCUCUUAUCUUAUAUUCCUAUAUUUCAGAAAGAAUUAGUCAGAACCUAUCUACAGUUGCUCUGUGAUCAUAUUUACUGUGAAUACUAAAUUGAUCAAGCAUCGACCUGCAUAAACAUACAAUUCUCCUGUAUUUCCAUCGCGAAGAUCAUUGCAUAAAAAGCGGUCAAUUUAUAAACAAUCUAUAUCUCCUAUUAUAUCCUUUGACCGGAUUAUUUAGCUUGAUUGCCUUCCUCAUUUACAUCAUUUCCACAUAAUUCAGCAAUUAAAUCAACAGUUGCAUCUAAUUGUGUGUAAGAAGUAUGGUUUCAUGAAGAACUUGAAUGUCUUUUCCCUAUAUAUGGUUUCUCUCUGACAUUUGUUUCUUUAGAGGGAAUUGAUCUUUUCCCUAUAUAUGGUUUCAUGAAGUACUUGAAUGACUAUCUCUAUAUAUUUGUUUCUUUAGAGGGCAUGCCGAAAACACUUUAAAAAGGUAAAAACAAUAUACUAAUUUUCUUUUGGACUGUUCUGUAGAAGGAUAUGUUCAUUAAACCUUUUCUGACAGUCAAUUUAUUUCUGGUGGUUUCUAUUUCUUCAUGUUUUAUCUCUUAGGUAGAAAAAACAUUGUCACAUGAAGACCUAAUAUGUGAAACCCGCCAUAAAAUUAUUGAUGACAUAAUAUGCAAAUUGUAGGACAUCACGUGUUUAUGUAUACCAUUUCAAGAUAAUGUCACUUUCUGUAAUCUAUUGUGGAUGAUUUGGGUAGAGAUUUGAUAAGUAGGGGCAUGCUGUCUUGCAACAGACAGAGAAGUCAUUCUAUCACUCAUAAAUACAUGUAGCUAUUGAAAGAGAAAAUCAUGUGCUAUUGUCUAAUGCCUCUUCACCACUUGAAGUACAAAUUGAUGAACUGUUCAAUAUUUUCUAUUUUUGUAUAUAAAUACAUAACAGGGCAUUAAUAAAUUCAUCACAAACUCAAUCAUCUAAAGUCUUCACCAUACAAGUUCUUUUCUUUCUCCAUAUUCUCUAAACAAUCUAGGAGUAUUAUGGGUAUUCAUAUGCCUCGUGUUACUAAUCUCAAGAAAAUCUUUAACCCGUCUUCUUUCUUGAUAAGUCCUGAUUAUACCUUAACAGUUCCAAAGGGGUGCUUGGCAGUAUAUAUCUUGGAGAAGCAAAGAAGAAGAAGACUUAUCAAGAAAGAAGACGGGUUAAAGAAGAAGGGGGAUUGUCUAUUACAUUACAAACUAGAACCUUCCAAAAUUGUUAGUACCAGAUAAUCUGAAGUGAGGUUAAUGAAUGUUUUCUCUACAUGGAAAAGCCACUUCAGACUAUAAAGACAUGGAAUGUAUAAAGCUACUUAUAUAUAUUUCAAAUAAUAAGUACUUAUAAAGACAUAUAAUGACUACAUACUGAUUGCAGAGAUCAAAUCCAUGUAGAAAUUAAUGUCUCAAAUAUAAAAUUUCUACCUACAAGAUUUAUAUGAGAGUCAUAUAUAAAAUUUCUGGACUAGUUUACAAAAUUUGUACACUAUCUAACAACAUAUAUAUAAACUCUCAUAAUCUGUUCAAAAGAUUAAUGAAGGUGUCUUCUUUGCAUGGUAUUGUGAGGCCACCUUCUGGAUGACUAAACCCAAAUUCUUCCUCAGCUUGACUUAACAGGUCUUGGAAUGUAGGCUCGUUUAAGUAAGAUAUCGGAACUACAAAUCUUCUUCUUUGGUUCUCCCCAACAUACACUGCAACGCAUCCCUUAGGGACAUUUGUACUACGAUCAAGAUUUUUUAAGGAAAAUUGCCUGUUGAGAAUUUGCUUGAGAUUAGUGAUAUGAGGCACACGAAUACCCAUGAUGCUCAAGAAAAUUAAAACUUUAAUCUCGGGGGAUAUGGAAAAUACAAGAACUUCUGCAGACUGAAGGCUUAGACCCUCAAUUACACUUGAUUUUGUGAUGAAUUUGGUUGAGGAGAUCACAGUUUUUAUAUAGAAAUAACAAGUAAUGAGCGGUUGAUCAAGAUGCAGAUUGAGUGGCACAGAUGCAUUAGGCAAUAGCACAUGCUAUUCUCUUUCAAAGGCCACACAUAUUUAAGAGUUCAUACGAAGGUCAUCGACAUACAUAUAAUGGCUGGAAACUGUCAAGUUCGACAGGCAAGGAAUCAAAUCUUAUGCUUUUAUUGGUCAAUAGUCUUAGGUGGGAUAGGCAAGUUUGGUGCUCAUGUGACGGUGUUUUCUUGACCUAUCUCAGCUGCAUCUUUUGUUGAAUUGAUGUCUGUUUAAAACAGAUUAUCAGAUUAAAUGGAUCCAACAUCUUUGACAUGGUCUAGCUGCAUUAUGUCAAAAUAUCAACUUGGAGCUGGAAGAAACAGUGUCACAUGAACACUUAUGAUUUCAACCCCACCAUAAUCAGUGCAGACAAACCCAAAACAUAAAAUCCAUAUCAUGCCACCCACCUAUUGAAAGAGAAAAUCAUGUGCUAGUGUCUAUACUCACCGCUCAAUGUAGAAUUUGAUGAGAUGUUCUACACAACUUCCUGAUUGUUCUGUAUAAACACAUAACUAAGCGAUACUAACAUUCAUCACAAACUCACUGGUCUAAAGUCUUUCGUAUAACUAUACAAGUCCUAGUGUUUCUUCAGUUUUCUGAACUCUUCUCUGAAAGAGCUAUAGUGUCAUGGGUAUCCGUAUGCCUCGUAUUACUAGUCUCAAACAAAUCCUUAAUAGCUCAUCUUUCUUAUUAAAUCCUGAUCUUACUUCAACGAUUCCAAAGGGGUGCUUGGCAGUUCAUAUUGGGGAGAGGCAAAGAAGCAGAUUUGUGGUUCCUAUUUCAUACCUGAAUGAGGCUGCCUUUCAAAAAUUGUUAAUUCAAGCCGAGGAAGAAUUUGGAUUCAAUCAUCCGGAAGGAUGUCUUACAAUUCCUUGCUCAGUGGACACAUUCAAUGAAAUCACUUCGCGCCUGAACAAUUUAUAUACUUUUAGAUAGUAUAGCACCUGCGAUCUCAUUUAUUGAGUUUCCGAGUGUAAACUGUAGAAAAUACAGAUUUUGUAGGGGAAGCAUAAUUUGAUACUCAAACUUUUUGAACAUAUUGACCAUCACUUAUGCUCAUGGAUACUUGUUAUUUUCUAUAAAGCAUAUCACUAAGUGUUUGCCGAUAAACUUUAUGCCUAAACCAAAUCGAUCACCAACAAAAUUACAGUUUCUGUAGUUACUCUUUGAUACCUAAAUCUUGCAAUCGUCUUCAAAAAUCAGCACUGACACAAGGUGAGUUUGCUAGCUCAAAAAUCAAAAUUAAAAUUUAUAAACAGUUCUAAAUAAUUUAUAAAUAUAUCUGUUGCAUAGUCAGUGGCGAAACCAGAACUAAAAUUUUGGGGUGGCUCAAAUAUUUAAUUAUAUUCCUAAGCAGUUUUAUUACUGAUGGUUACAUCAAAAAGAGAUGAAAUAUUGUUAUAUGAUGUGAACCCCACCGUGUAUCUCCCAGUCGAGUUAAACAAGUUUCUUGAUUCUUCCUUUUUUCCUGAAAAUAUCUCACCACUUUCUAAACAUUUCAGUGUAAGUUCAUAAUGUCUUUGUCGAAACAUAUCCUUUCUCUUACACGAAGCAUCAACCAAUUCACAAUACGACAGAGAUGAUCAAAAAAAUCACUUACUACAUGAGAACAUUUAGCCAUAGCAACAACUAAUAACCGCAAUUUCAUGACUCUCCUGGUGAUAUAAAGUAAUGCAAUAUCAUGACUCUCGUGGUAAUUUAAAGUAAUUCGAGAGUACCAAAUUAGACUACCACAAUUCAAUAAUUCAGAACUAACAAAAAAGUCUAAAUUAUCAUUCUAAUUUAAAGACUUCCCAUAUCAAUUCAGGAUCAAACGACAACAUAUGUGUUAGAGCACCUUUUAAACUCUAGUUCUCGGGCAUCCCCCAAUUAAUAAUUUCAUUAUACAAAAUCAUGAAAGAUACAAAAAUAUUAAAGACUAACAAUUUAUCCAAGAAUCAAGAAACUCAAUCACAAAAAGUGAUAAAAAUUUCUGGCAAAAAAAAAGUGAUAAAAAUAAAAGGAUAAUCAAUCAAUUUAAUCAAUUUAUCAUACCUUGAAAUUUGGAAAACAAGUGAGAAGUCAGAGUAUUGAGUAAACACGGAAACACUGAGUGAAUCUAGAGAGGGAAAUAGAAGGAUAACGUUAGGUGUACUUUAUUCUGACAUUUUAAAAAAUUAUGUUGACAUCUAUAAUUCAGCAGAAGCUAAAAAAUAUAUACACCGUCAGUGGCGGUGCCACACUGGGGCCUGGGGGGACACGUGCCCCCACAAGUUUCCCUUUGUGGGCCUCACAUAUUAGUAAUACUCGUAUGUUUUGUCAUUUGUGUCCCGAAUAAAUUACUAAAUCUCUCUAUGAAAUCAUCUCAGCUUCAGUCUAUUUCAGUUCUAGCAGUAGUUUAAGCAUGACCAUGCUUCUUUAGGAUUUGUAUGUCUAAAUCAGUUGUGGUAGCAAGUUGGUUUUUAAAUAAGAUUUGAAGGGUAGGAUGUUUAGCCAGGUCUGUUUGUUCCAGUUUGUAGUAGUUGCUGUUCGAAUUUGUAAAACUAAUUAAGUAAUAUAUUUUGAGUAUAAUCGAAAAAUUAAAAGUGUCCCCCUUGAAUAUUUUGUCUGGCUCCGCCACUGUACACCGUUCUUAAUUUCGAGGUCAUGGGUAGCUUUAGCAUCCUCUAGCCCCCUCUGGUUUCCGCCACUGUGCAUAGUUUAAUCUAUAUAAGUCAUUUAUUAUCGUGAAUACUCCUUUUGCUCCUGAGCCUAUGAGAUAUUAGCGAUGCGCGUAUAAGUAGAAGUUUACAUGAAAGUCUCAGUCAGAAUUACAAUUCCUAGACUAGUUCACAAAAUUUGUACACUAUCUAACAACAUAUAACUAUGUACAUAUCUGUAGACAUAUAUAAACUUUCAAAAUCUGUUCAACAGAUCAACGAAAGUGUCUUCUUUGCAUGGAUAUGUGAGGCCACCUUCUGGAUGACUAAACCCGAAUUUUUCCACAACCUAAGAGCAUCUCCAACGCGUUGGCUAUAAUCGAUGGCUAAACGGGACCUGUAAGACAUUAUGUAAAAUUUGUUGAACUUGUAAGACAUUUUGCUUCAAUGGUAUUGGCUAUAUUGGAUGGCUAUAAUUUAAAAAUAGUAUGUUAUUAAUAUUUUUUUUUGCCAGUGUAUGUUAUUAAUAUUUUAGAUUGUUAAAAUAGAAUAUAUCAGUAUGGUAAUAAAUGAUGUGCAAUCUUUCUAUAGAUUUCUUACAGACCUGUAGAGGUUCGACAAAUUUAGCCAUCCGUAGGAGGUUGGCUAAAAUUAUAGACAACAGCUGGGUAUGGUUGGAGUAUGUAUUUUUCGAGCUGUUGGCUAAUUUUUUUUAUUUUUAGUAUGCCAACUCAGCUAAGGGCUUUCAAUGGUUGGAGAUGCUCUAACUCAACAUAAAUUGCCAUAAGAGCAUCUCCAAUGGUGUUGGCUACAAUCGUUGGCUAAAUUGAACCUAUAAGACAUUAUGUAAAAUUUGCUGAACUUGUAAGACAUUGUGCCUCAAUGGUAUUGGCUAUAUUGGUUGGGUAUAGUUUAAAAAUAGUAUGUUAUUAAUAUUUAGAUUGUUAUAAAUAGAAUAUAUCAGUUUAAUAUGGUAAUAAUUUAUAUGUAAUGAGGAAAAUAAAUUGCGGGAAAUGACGUGGAAUUCACUACAGAUCUGGAGUGGUUCGACAAAUAUAGCCAUCCAUAGGGGGAUGGCUAUAAUUAUAGACAAGGGCUCACCAUGGUUGGAGUGCUCUUUUUUGUGAACAUUGGCUAUAGUUUUUAAUUAUAGUAAGCCACCUAGAUUUUUACGUAAAGGCUUCUCCUGGUUGGAGAUGCUCUAAGCCUUUUAAUUAACCCCUUAUUCUCGUAUAAUCAAGGGUGAAUAUAAGCAGCCAGUUAAUAUUAUUUAAUAAAAUUUCAGUUCAUUACUAUUAAAUUGAUGUUAAUUUGAUCAUAAAUAAUAAUUUAAAAUUAUAUAGUAAUCGUUUGUUAACACAGGUUUAAAAUUAGUAUUACUUAAAACAUAGUAUAUAAAUUGGAGAAGGGCCUGUUACGAUAUCAACGGCCCAACAUAGACACCCUUUUAUCCAAUCGUUUUUAUAUGGAUAUAUAAAAAUAUUUAAGGGUUUUAUAUCAAAUUGCUUAUUCAACUCUGCAAAAUAUAUCACGUAGAUAUUUGAUCUCCACGACUACUCAUUUAAACCACAACAAUAAUAUAUAUAAUUUUGUUGAUUUUUUUCCCAUACCCAAUAUUUAGCAAUAUAUGGUUGGUUUGUACACAGGGAUGUAUGCACACUGGGGCAGUGGGGGUACUUGCCCCCAGUGAGCUGCAUAGUAUUUAGUAACUUAUAGUAUACAUAUUUCACAAAUUGAGGACUUGCCCUCAUGGUUCAAACAUGGGAUUUUGGUGGAAUAAGCCAUAGUUCGACUCCUGGCAACAACAGUUUCCUCUUUUAGGCCUUCUCAUUUUUAAGCCUCUCCUGCCUUCCCCUCUUUUUUAUCUAUAUUAAUGUUUAGCAGUAUUAUUGCCUCUCCUGCCUUCCCCUCUUUUUUAUCUAUAUUAAUGUUUAGCAGUAUUAUUGCCUCUCCUGCCUUCCCCUCUUUUUUAUCUAUAUUAAUGUUUAGCAGUAUUAUUGCCUCUCCUGCCUUCCCCUCUUUUUUAUCUAUAUUAAUGUUUAGCAGUAUUAUUACUACUCAUAUUUAUUAUUAUAUUUAUAUUUUGAUUUGUAUUAUUUUAGUAGUUAUAGUAGCUCUGAAAUUAUAAAUAUCAUGUAAAAUUUUCCACGGUUUACACGGUUUUUAACCUAGGGCGGAGCGGUUGCAGUUCGAAUUUUUCACUAAGCUGCCUAUGCAGUUUAGAAAAAAACCACCGCGAUAGUUUUACUUGAACAAGUAGCUAGCUUUAUCUUUAUAUUUUUCAUCCUAGUUGAAGUUACAUUUGAGAUAGUAAGAGAAGCUUGAGUUGGAAUAUAAGUGUUUUCUUUGAUUGCAUUAUUAUGUUAACAGAAUUUCGUUACCACAUCAGUAAUUUCGUUAUCACAUCAACAUUGUUGUCCAAAAAUUUUAAAAUAAUUAACGAAAUGAUAUAUAAUAGUAUUUUAGUGGUUUAAAUGAGUCGUCGUGAAGAUUGAAUAGCUACAUGAUAUAUUUUGUUUAAUUCGGUGAGCAAUUUGAUAUAAAACCCGAAUAUUUAAUACAGCACACUCGUAGAAGCCAUCAAGUCCCUCCUAGAGUCCUAGGUUUAACAAAACAAAUUUGCCUACAAAAUCCGUUCUCUUUAACCCCUUAUUCUCAUAUUGAAUAAGUGAAGAACAGUAAGAAAUUUGACAAGCAUAAAAGGUGAAGAAUCAAGAGAAAAGCUGAUGGGUUCUAACGGGAACAAAAGAGGAAGCAAAAGAAAAGCAGGGAGACCCAAAAAUAAGAUGAAAAGAAUUGAUGAUUUGGGUAAAAAAAGUGAGGAGAUUGUGAGAGACAGUGUGGAUCAAAGGACUGUUCUUGAUUUGGAUGCCAUUGUUAGAGAUUAUAUCAGCAGAACCCGUNNNNNNNNNNNNNNNNNNNNNNNNNNNNNNNNNNNNNNNNNNNNNNNNNNNNNNNNNNNNNNNNNNNNNNNNNNNNNNNNNNNNNNNNNNNNNNNNNNNNNNNNNNNNNNNNNNNNNNNNNNNNNNNNNNNNNNNNNNNNNNNNNNNNNNNNNNNNNNNNNNNNNNNNNNNNNNNNNNNNNNNNNNNNNNNNNNNNNNNNNNNNNNNNNNNNNNNNNNNNNNNNNNNNNNNNNNNNNNNNNNNNNNNNNNNNNNNNNNNNNNNNNNNNNNNNNNNNNNNNNNNNNNNNNNNNNNNNNNNNNNNNNNNNNNNNNNNNNNNNNNNNNNNNNNNNNNNNNNNNNNNNNNNNNNNNNNNNNNNNNNNNNNNNNNNNNNNNNNNNNNNNNNNNNNNNNNNNNNNNNNNNNNNNNNNNNNNNNNNNNNNNNNNNNNNNNNNNNNNNNNNNNNNNNNNNNNNNNNNNNNNNNNNNNNNNNNNNNNNNNNNNNNNNNNNNNNNNNNNNNNNNNNNNNNNNNNNNNNNNNNNNNNNNNNNNNNNNNNNNNNNNNNNNNNNNNNNNNNNNNNNNNNNNNNNNNNNNNNNNNNNNNNNNNNNNNNNNNNNNNNNNNNNNNNNNNNNNNNNNNNNNNNNNNNNNNNNNNNNNNNNNNNNNNNNNNNNNNNNNNNNNNNNNNNNNNNNNNNNNNNNNNNNNNNNNNNNNNNNNNNNNNNNNNNNNNNNNNNNNNNNNNNNNNNNNNNNNNNNNNNNNNNNNNNNNNNNNNNNNNNNNNNNNNNNNNNNNNNNNNNNNNNNNNNNNNNNNNNNNNNNNNNNNNNNNNNNNNNNNNNNNNNNNNNNNNNNNNNNNNNNNNNNNNNNNNNNNNNNNNNNNNNNNNNNNNNNNNNNNNNNNNNNNNNNNNNNNNNNNNNNNNNNNNNNNNNAAAGGUGAAGAAUCAAGAGAAAAGCUGAUGGGUUCUAACGGGAACAAAAGAGGAAGCAAAAGAAAAGCAGGGAGACCCAAAAAUAAGAUGAAAAGAAUUGAUGAUUUGGGUAAAAAAAGUGAGGAGAUUGUGAGAGACAGUGUGGAUCAAAGGACUGUUCUUGAUUUGGAUGCCAUUGUUAGAGAUUAUAUCAGCAGAACCCGUGAAUUUCGCAAAGAUGGUCAAAAAAUUUGUUCUGUCAGUAGCAGUGAUGAUGAUGAACAUCGGAAUCAUGCAAAUAAAAUCAAGGACAAGGAGAUCAUUGUUGGUGGUAGUGGUAAAGAUGAUGAUAAUGAUGAUCAGAAUCAUAAAAAUAAAAAUAAGGACAAUGAGAUUGUUAUUAGUAGUGAUGAUGAUGAUGAUGAUGUUGCUGAGGAUGAUGAUCAGAAGAUUAGAGAUGAACAUGAUGUGGAGAAGGAGGCUACGGCCCCCCAAUGUGAAGAGCACGACGGAUAUCCUCCGGAAGAAGCUCUGUCUUCAGCAAAGAGACGCAAGAAUGGUGCAAUGGGAAAAGAUGAUGAAAAGAUUCAGAAGAUAGGGAGUAGGGGUUGGAACAAUAAUGAAAAAGGUAAAGAUGGCCAGACAAGUCGAGUUUGUAAGUCUGCUGGUUCUAAGCAAAAGGGUGGCGUAAUGACAGAUGAGAAUGUAUGUUUGCCUCCCUGUUCUGUUAUAUAACUCAUUAACAGCUGCAUUACAAUUCAUUGGGAUUUGUUCGCCUGCCACGUGACCGGUUUCAGAUGUCUUCAUCUCAUUAAUUGCUGCUAACAAGGCAAACCGAGAUCCGGUGCCCGUAAUGUAAUAUGUCUAGUCUCCUAGUGCCCUUUGGGUUAUAUGCUCGGCCUCCCUGUUCUGUUAUAUAACUCAUUAUUAUAUGCUUGGCAUUAUGUUUCUAUUAAUACCUGAGAAGCAUGAGAAAGGGUGUGCAGAAAUUAGGCAGCCAAUAACAAAACUAACUAAAGCAUGCAAACUGAAUCAGAUACAUUAUAUACGGAUCUAAGACAUAAGAAUUUACGUCAAACCGUUAAUUUUUGUUACACAAAUCUCAAAAAAAGAAAAAAAAUUGGUUGAGACUAAGACUUUUGAGUACCUAAUACAGGAGUGCGUAUGGAGGGACAGGGAUUUGUUAGGUUACAGAAUAAUCCAUGUUUCUGCGUUAAUACUUUAUGUGUAUUGCUUAUAAGUUUUACAAAUUUAUUUGGGUGUUUAUGCUAACAGGGAAAUCCGAUAUCAACUAUGUGUCACCAGUGCCAGAGGAAUGACAAAGGUAGGGUCAUGGUAUGCAAUAACUGUAAUAAGCCUCAACAUAAAUUGCCAUAAGCCUUUUGGAAUAACAAGCACUGUUGAACUAGCAAGAUAUCUGAACACAGAAGACUGAUGGAUACUUUUCUUAACAUGAGAAAUAACAGUCAUACGGUUUUCAUGGUGUAAUAACAAAUCGACAAGAAUGAUUAUAGAAUGAAAGUAGAGGUGGAUGAAAAUUUUGAUGGUUCGGCUAAUUAGUUUAUGUUGACUUGGUUGCAGUUCCCUUUCUCUGCGAUUAUAUAUAGAGGGGAAAUGAAAUAUCAUUUAAAUUAUGAAAUAUCCAGACGCCUUUCUCUUUGGCUCACCACAUAGAUUAACAACUCAGAGGCAAUAUCUGUUUCUGCUAGGAAACAUCUCAUAUUCCCAAUUGAUUGCUUAUGUGCACCACCUCAAAAAUUAAUACUUCUGCAUCAGAUAAAGAUUUCAAGAGAGGGGUUGCUGGUGCUCCAUACAAUAUUUGCGGAAAUCAAUAGACGCAGACCUCCAAGAUUUACAAACACCGCUAAAUGACAGGUAGUCCACGAUACUUAAUUUUACCAAAAUUGACACCAGAAGUUCAACAGGAAGAAUGCCCCAUGCUCCUCAAACUGUCACCCGAUCUCCUGCAUAUCCUUUUCCGUUCUCUUCCUUGUUUUACUGGUCGUGGAGCAUUCCUGUUAACAAAGAGGGAAACGAAGAACUCACCACAAAGCUAGAUUGAUCAUGCACAGUCAAAUGAAUUUUAUUUAGAAAGAGUCAGUGGUUUGUUGAAAACAGAAUGCAUUACUUUUACAGAUGUUUCUUAAGGACAGAUUCAUCCUUUGCAAGAUUUAAAAGAACUUGAUUUAACACAUAGAGGAGAAACUAGAGUUGGAUUGUUCCUUUUGCCAGUACAGUAAAAAGUUCUGCAGCUAGACAUUAGAAGAUAAUAAAGCUUACUGGAAGCUAAUUCACUAAAGGUUCACAUAUUAAAAUGAAAAUCAGUGCAUAGUUUAAUCAGAACUGGAUUAAGAGUGUGCAAACUUAACAUCUUUCCGAUAUGAGAACUUCAACGUCCCCCAGUAAGAAUGCAAUCAUCCUAAUGAACCAUAACUAGAUUUAUAAGAGGUAGUUUGGUUAACAUGUAAAUCUCCAGGAAUUUAAAGUUCCUAGCAAAUUGUAAGAUUUUUUUGUUGACCGCUAUAUGGAAAGUGGAACCUCCUAGGAAAUUGGAAUUUCCACAUAAUGUAGAAACUUGCUUAUGUCACACACUGGUACUGCAAAUUCCUACACCACAACCAAACAUGUUUUUUAACUUCCCAGGAACUUGAUAAAGGAACUAGGAGGCCAGUUGGAGAAUUUAGAAUCAAGGUCCAACUGGCAUAUGAUACUUUUACGAUAUAGCAGUCUAGUUUACAAAGGCACAACUAUAUACGUAAUGCAUACUUCAAGAGAAAGUAGGGAACAUUUAGAUUAAAGUUUUAGUAGACAAUGAGUGAAGUAUAUUCCAUGUUUAUAGUAGAAUUCCUUAGGGUCCAAUGGUGUUCUUUGUAUUGUUCUAUGUUUAUAUCCAUACUCUUGAGAGGCAAUCUCUCUAUCUCGGUGCUUAGUUGCUCUCUAUGCAUUUUAUUAAAUUUUUGGUUGUUGAAACGAUAAAUUUGUAUACGACAUAGUGGUGAUUAUACAAUACAGGCCAAGUAAUUUUUUGAACUCGUCUGAACGACGAGAAUGUAUGGGGUUUGCGGUUGUUAAGGAGAACUAGGGAUAUGGCUUACAUGCAUUUUGUCCAGGUAAGGUGUUGCUUGUAAUCAUACAUCUCACUACACGUACACCAUUUUUUGCUUACCUUGGAAUCCCUAGAUUUUUUUUUUUGGACCAGAUCUCUGUGAAAUAAGAAUCACCAACUGUGUGAUCUAGCAUUUACAACCAUACCUGCGACUUGCAUUCUAGAUUUGAAAUGAGAUUUGCUUGAAGUACUUAGACUCUAUGUCAUAUAUUACUAGAAAUACAAAUUAUUUUAUGUUAUUUCUCCAGACAUGUAGCACUCCCGACCAACCUCAAUGGUGUUGGAAUAUUGGGAUGAUUCUUAGAAGCUGUAAAUUUACAUUUGGUUAUAGAAGUGGAGAAGCAAUGCUCAUUGCCCAUUUAAAAUAAGUAUACAAGAUAAACAAGAGCUUAGAAGCUUGCAGAGAAAGAGAAAAAAGUAGAAGAAAUCUCUGUAAAAAAUAAAUUGUGGGGGGACUUGCAUGUAUUACUACAAGAAAACGCGAAUCUCUUAACCAAAUUUACCAACGGAAAUUCUGUUGGCAAAUUACCAACCGAAAAUCUGUUGGCAUAUUGGACAUCUCACUGAAGUCAACACACCAAGUUUCCGUUGCAAAAUUACCAAAGGAAUGUAUAUUUCCGUUGGUAACAGUUUACCAACCAUGAUAUUACUAACAGUUUAUUCCGUUGACACUUCGUUUUGCCAACGGGAAUUUGUGUUUACCCAAUGGAAAAUUCCGUUGGGGAAUUCGCGUUUUUUUGUAGUGUGGAAACUGCAGAAGCAUGGAAGUGAUCUGAUAAAGGUACGAGAAUAAUGAGUCUUUAAAAGUAAUGAGGCUUUAAAAGAUGUGUUUAUUGAUUAUAAGUAAAAAUUUAUUUAUAAAUGAAAAUUAACUUUUAAUUUAUGUGUUUUGAUUUUUUUUAUAUUUAUAGGGUAUAAAAUUUUAUAAUAUAAUAACAAAUUAUCUUUUAAAGUGGUCCUUUACUUCUUUGUAAAAUGAAAUUUCAAAAAUAAAAAUAAGUCACUGAAAAAGUUAAGAUUUUUUAGCUUCUCAUAUUCUGCCUUUUAAGUCAGAAGUUCAUACACAAACAAUACGAAUGAGUUACUUCUGACUUAUAAGUCUAAAUGAUGGGCUUUUAAGCCGUCCCAAUCUUUUUGUCCGCCUUAUUAAGAAAAUCAAGGGAUAAUUAAUUCAAACGUCCCUGAACUAUAGUCUGUUUAUUGUCUAGGUCCCUAUCCUAUUUUUCUCAAUAUUGCGAUCCUUAAACUUUCAAACUUUUCUGAUUCGCAUCCUUCCGUUAAAAAUCAACUAACAGACGUUAGUCAAUGCUUAUGUGGCAGAUAAAAAAAUAAAAUUAAAAAAUUAUCAAGUACCAGUUUUAGUAGCAUAAGUACACAUGUCAUUAACAAUAUCUUCACUCCACAAUAAUUGACAAUUAUCAAGUGACUCACCCUCCUUGUGCCAAUAUAUCUUAUAGUUUUUAUACCCAAGCCUCUUCUCUACCAAAUCUUUACAUGAAUCAAGACAAAUUGUAUCUAUGCUCUGGCAGUAAACUAGUUCUACUUUACCUUCUUCAUAGAGCCGUAUGCGAUUUUUGUAAGUAAACACUCCCCCAUGAUAAAUUCGAAUAUUGACAUAGUAAAUCCCCAUCCCUGCACAUAUACACACAAUCAAUAAGAGAAAAGUAUAUACAUGUAUAUAUAUGAUCUUGUAUGUCUGUACAUACCUCAUAAGAUAGAAGGAUCGCUGUCAAUCGAACCCUAGUUUAGUGAAUAAAGAAAAUCCCCAAUCGCUCUAGAACCCUAAUUUUCGUGUGUUAGUACGUUGCUUAGCGAAUGUUAGGUGCGUGGAUGUUUUAUUUUUGGACUUAAAUUGACUUAACUUAAAUUGGUUUUAAAAGAUGACAGCUCAGAUUUUAAUUUUUUAAUUUUAUUUUUUGAUCUGCCACGUAAGCAUUGACUAACGUCUGUUAGUUGAUUUUUAACGGAAGGAUGCGAAUCAGAAAAGUUUGAAAGUUUAAGGAUCGCAAUAUUGAGAAAAAUAGGAUAUGGACCUAGACAAUAAACAGCCUAUAGUUCAGGGACAUUUGAAUUAAUUAUCCCGAAAAUCAAUCAAUUAGACUGUAUAGUAGACUAUGCAUGUGAAUCUAGAGCACUUGUGAAGAGAUACAAUCUGCAUUAGAAAGUCUGGAUAUGGUUGUAAAGUUGAACAAUAUUAGUUUGGCCAGAAAGAACUCAUUUGAGCAAGAGGAGUUUGUUUGAAAGGACAGACUUAGAGGCCCUUCAUUCAGAAAUUACAAAAAAAAUUUUUUCAAAUGAGAAAGAUCAGCUUCUUGAAAAUUAACUUAUCUAUUCGUCACCACAAUAAUUCAGAAACGAAGUAAUCAUCUAUAAAUUAAACUUUGAUUAACAAAAAUAUAUAACUAUAUUAAACUGCAGAAACUUCAGCUUCAAAUUGGGAAUUUUUUACCUAAGAAUUUGUCUUAUACAUGAACAAACUUGGUGUCAAUAAGAAAUAAAGAAAAUGACUUUUGAAAUCUGGUGCCUCUAAUGCAAACAUUACAGCAUCAAUGUAUAAAAGUUUUCAUAAUAGAACUAGUACAAAGUUGCAUUAUGAAAGAUGAAGAUACAAACUAGAGACUUAAUGAGAAAAACUGAUAUCAGAUUUAGAAGUGAUCAUGNAAAAAAAUAAAAUUAAAAAAUUAUCAAGUACCAGUUUUAGUAGCAUAAGUACACAUGUCAUUAACAAUAUCUUCACUCUACAAUAAUUGACAAUUAUCAAUUGACUCACCCUCCUUGUACCAAUAUAUCUUAUAGUUUUUAUACCCAAGCCUCUUCUCUACCAAAUCUUUACAUGAAUCAAGACAAAUUGUAUCUAUGCUCUGGCAGUAAACUAGUUCUACUUUACCUUCUUCAUAGAGCCGUAUGCGAUUUUUGUAAGUAAACACUCCCCCAUGAUAAAUUCGAAUAUUGACAUAGUAAAUCCCCAUCCCUGCACAUAUACACACAAUCAAUAAGAGAAAAGUAUAUACAUGUAUAUAUAUGAUCUUGUAUGUCUGUACAUACCUCAUAAGAUAGAAGGAUCGCUGUCAAUCGAACCCUAGUUUAGUGAAUAAAGAAAAUCCCCAAUCGCUCUAGAACCCUAAUUUUCGUGUGUUAGUACGUUGCUUAGCGAAUGUUAGGUGCGUGGAUGUUUUAUUUUUGGACUUAAAUUGACUUAACUUAAAUUGGUUUUAAAAGAUGACAGCUCAGAUUUUAAUUUUUUAAUUUUAUUUUUUGAUCUGCCACGUAAGCAUUGACUAACGUCUGUUAGUUGAUUUUUAACGGAAGGAUGCGAAUCAGAAAAGUUUGAAAGUUUAAGGAUCGCAAUAUUGAGAAAAAUAGGAUAUGGACCUAGACAAUAAACAGCCUAUAGUUCAGGGACAUUUGAAUUAAUUAUCCCGAAAAUCAAUCAAUUAGACUGUAUAGUAGACUAUGCAUGUGAAUCUAGAGCACUUGUGAAGAGAUACAAUCUGCAUUAGAAAGUCUGGAUAUGGUUGUAAAGUUGAACAAUAUUAGUUUGGCCAGAAAGAACUCAUUUGAGCAAGAGGAGUUUGUUUGAAAGGACAGACUUAGAGGCCCUUCAUUCAGAAAUUACAAAAAAAAUUUUUUCAAAUGAGAAAGAUCAGCUUCUUGAAAAUUAACUUAUCUAUUCGUCACCACAAUAAUUCAGAAACGAAGUAAUCAUCUAUAAAUUAAACUUUGAUUAACAAAAAUAUAUAACUAUAUUAAACUGCAGAAACUUCAGCUUCAAAUUGGGAAUUUUUUACCUAAGAAUUUGUCUUAUACAUGAACAAACUUGGUGUCAAUAAGAAAUAAAGAAAAUGACUUUUGAAAUCUGGUGCCUCUAAUGCAAACAUUACAGCAUCAAUGUAUAAAAGUUUUCAUAAUAGAACUAGUACAAAGUUGCAUUAUGAAAGAUGAAGAUACAAACUAGAGACUUAAUGAGAAAAACUGAUAUCAGAUUUAGAAGUGAUCAUGCGCCAAACUCAUCACUGACACAACUGAUGGACCAAAUUUCACUAGGAAAAUACCAAAAACAAAGUGACGAAUGACCAUCCCAAACAACCGGAGUUGUUCCUAGCUGAUUUCCAUUCAGGUUAAAGAAAGAACAUGUGUUGAAAACUCCUAAGUGAAGAACACAGACACAGUUACCUGCUCCCCAACCAGUUGUAUCGACGACAGCAGAACUGAACCAACUAAAAAAUAAAGAUUUUGCACCCAAGUCAUGAAUCUGUUUUGCUCUAUCCAUUGUCUCAUGGUCAAUUUCGAAUAAUGCCAGAUGUCGGUCCACUGCAGGAUAAGGACAACAAUUGAAUACAGUCAUGUAUAGCUUAUUGUCUGAUGCCACCAACUUCAAAUACAUAUCAGAUGAAACCUGGAAAGGGAUGCUGAUUUUGGAGAGCUUUGGAACAGAACCUGCCUUCGGAUUAAAUUCUCCAAAACGUAAAUCUGAAGUCAAAACAAAGAUUUUGCCAUCAAAAAUCUUCACAUCUGCAAUCCUGGCUUCUGUGUCGGAUACAGCAUAUCUCUGCCAACUGCUGCCGCCACUUUUGGACAACAAUAUAUAAUUUUCUGUCAGAGAGAAAAGAACCAUGAAAGUUUCUGAAAGCCGAGUGGACUGAAAUAGGAGAGCAGAAAAUUCAAUGCAGUUUAUGCCACCCAUAUGUCCAGGAAGGACGGGAAAACGCAGCUCAUGUUUUGUAAUUAAAUUUACGAGCCAAAAGCCUAAGUUUCCGUCGGUUGUAAUCAGGUACCCACAUGACAAACCCAAUAAUUUCUUGCAAGGCAAAUCUGGCAGCAUUGUUUUGUAACUUUUCAUAUCGAACAUAUUGUACAAUACACAAGACUUUUUCGAAUACUUUGGCCGAACAACAACUAGGGGUUGCUGGCGCUCCAUACAGUAUUUGCGGAAAGCAAUAGAUGCAGACCUCCAAGAUUUACAAACACCGCUAAAUGACAGGUAGUCCACGAUACUCAACUUUACUAAAAUUGACACCAGAAGUUCAUUAGGAAGAAUGCCCCAUGCUCCCCAAACUGUGUCACCCGAUCUCCUGCAAGUCCUUUUCCGUUUUCUUCCUUCUUUGACUGUUCGUGGAGCAUUCCUGUUAACAAAUAGGGAAACGAAGAACUCACCACAAAGCUAGAUUGAGCAUGCCCAUUCAAAUGAAUUUUAUCUAGAAAGACUCAGUAUUUUUUGUUGAAAACAGAAUGCAUUACUUUUACAGAUGUUGCUUAAGGACAGAUUCAUCCUUUGCAAGAUUUAAAAGAACUUGAUUUAACAGAGAGAGGAGAAACUAGAGUAGGAUUGUUCCUUUUGCCGGCACAGUAAGAAGUUCUGCAGCUAGACAUUAGAAGAUAAUAAAGCUUACUGGAAGCUAAUUCACUGAAGGUGCACAUAUUAAAACGAAAAUCAGUGCAUAGUUUAUGUUAAGGCCACUAAAAUCUAAAAUUUUAAUCAGAACUGGAUUAAGAGUGUGCAUACUCAACAUCUUUCCGAAAUGAGAACUUCAACGCUCCCCAGAAACUUGCUUAUAUCACACCCCAGCACUGAAAAUUCCUACACCACAACUUCCCAGGAACUUGAUAAAGGAACUGGGAGGCCAGUUGGAAAAUUUAGAAUCAAGGUCCAACUGGCAUAUGAUACUUUUACGAUAGCAGUCUAGUUUAGGAGGGCACAAGUAUAUACGUAAUGCAUACUUCAAGAGAAAGUAGGGAACAUUUAGAUUAUAAUUUUAGUAGACAAAUUUUUCUAUAAAAAAUGAGUGAGGUAUAUUCCAUGUUUUUAGUAGAAUCUCUUAGGGAAAGUCCAUUGGUGUGCAAUAUCUUGUUCUAAAAUAGAACAAUGCUAUAGUUUGUUCAAUAUUUAGAACAAAAGAUAGAUGGAGCUAUAAUUGCUGAAGUAUAAAAUGAUGAAGAAAUGUAUAAGAAGGUACUUGAAAGUGCGGGGUCUUUGAAAGUUUGUCAUAUUUAUAUUCAAAAGUGGGAUGUAUUUGGAAGUUGUUUAAAUGUGAAACAAGAUUUGAAACCAACCAUUGGAAAAUCACUUUUUCAUGCUAAAUUAUAGCAAACUCCAUCUAUUUUAGCACAACCAAAUGACUUUAUUCACUUGAGAUUUAGCCAAGACUUUUUUCUCCCCCCUUCCAAGGGGUGCUUAUUCUUUAAUUUGCUGUAUACAUGCACUUUUUGGGACUAGAGAUUUAGCCACACUUUUGAUUGUUACUACGUAAGGCUUUGAUGCCCCAAACCAGGAACUCCAAAACUUCAAGACAAAAUUUAUAAUAUUUACAUAGAGCAAAUUCAGAACAUAUUUACCCGAAAUAGUCGAUUAUCAACCGCCCCGCAAAAAAAUCAACAAUCCGCCUCAGAACAUUAUCACAAAAUGCCUUUUCCAUUCCACCCAAGGAAGGCCUUUCAACCACUUCCAUUCUGCCUUCGUUGAAAAAAUGGGCUGAUUCUCUCAAGCUCUUGUUCUUCCUAAUAACCACAGAAUACAUAAUGGUCAGACUGGAAAUAUCUGGGUUUUCCUUGUGCUUCCUUCAGGCAUUUACUACUACUCUUUAAAAGUUUGUAGAAGGAAUUCAACUUAAAUAUGGAUAAGUACAAAAAAAAGGGGAUAUUCACAGAAAAGAUUUUACUGUCUCCAUCUUUUGACAGCAUGAAACCAGUUCUUUUUUCAGUCUUCAUUUUCUUUUUCGUUAGCAUCAUAAACAUAAAUUUUAAGCAUACGAUAUCCACUAAUUCUGAUUGAACGGCUACGCAGAAAUCCAAAAUGUCAAAAAAUUGGUACUUAUAAUAAACAAAUUAAGUAGGGCAUAUACUGAUGAAUGUCUAAGUUAUGUUACCUACCAAAAUCGCUUUACAACUUAAAUGGUGUUUUAUUGCUUCUUUACAUAUAUAUUCAGCACAAAAAGGUGGACAUGCUCCAAAUGCUGUCUAGUUCCUCAGGUGUUAUGUUUGUGACUGUCUACAGAGUAUCACAGUGACUAACAUAACUAAAGCAACAAUCAACACUGUGAAAUGCUAGUUGGAAGAAUAUUAGCUUGACUUGGGCAGCUACUAGUAAGCCCAAAAUACUUAUUUAAAUUGCAUACGUGAAAGCUUGGCAUGUUUCAUUCAUAAUUAAUUAAUUAUAAUGCUUCACAGACAUUAUAAUUCUUAAUAGAUAUGCGAUACAAUGACAUGUUAAGUAUGACUAGUGUAUUAAGGUUUAUGUUCUAUUUCACACUACCAUGAAAUAAAUUCGGGUUUACAUUCCAGCAAAGUAAUAGUCUAACAGAGGGAGACACAGAGAAGAAGAAGAGGAGUUAACCAAAUUGAUUUUUAUCCUACACAGUAUAUUUUAUUUAUAAGCAUGUCACACUAAUUUGUUCCAGAACAUUCAGUAAAUAUGUGAGAAUCCAUAUUAUGAUUGCCUUAAUAUUAACAAGUCUCAGAUCAUACACCGCAAUUUAUUGAUCUGAUCAAGUCAAGAUUUAGUUUCAAAUUAAGCUAGAUAUCAUAAAAACAAGAUAAUAUUGAUAUGUAUUGGAUUUAAACAGUAAAUUAAAGGAAACAAUCAAGUAAAACAGAUCAGAAAAUUAACAUUACCACACUAUCUGGCAGGUUUAAAAACUUAUUCAAUAUACUUAUUACAUUACAUGAAUAAAAUUAAAGUAUUGGAUUUCUAUUUAUCAAAUCAUUCAAGAGAAGGCUCUGGCUUCUACAGUUUCGCUUUAUCAAUUCCUUCCUACCGGUCCUCGGAUUAGACUAAAUUAAGCUCACAUCUACUUGUGAAGUUCAGCAAAUCAAAAAUUAACAUUACGCUAGUAAACAAAAUCUACAAUCAUCUAAAGGGAAGAUUUACUUGUUAAAAAGAUAAUGCGGGCACAAACUGAACAAAAUGGCAAUGGAACUCGCCAACUCACCUGAGAUUACCCUAGUCCGCCGCAAAUCGCCCUCCACUAGUGCUCUCAAACUUUCUUAAAUAAAAAGAGAGACCUGGUUUGACAUAGGAUAAUAUAUAUGGUGAGAUGGACGGUCAGGAUAAGGUGAUGGGUUGGUGAGAUUGGACGGUCAGGAUAAGGUGAUGGGUUGGUGAGAUUGCAUCAUAUGACGACACAUGUUAGUAUGGAUGUACACCACUAUGGAUCCUUUGAGGUGGGCCGGAUCGAGAUCACUACCCCUAAGGCCUAUUACAUUGACCAAUGACCGGAUAACGGUGAGGGACUAAUAUAUUUUAAAAAAUACUAUGAUCCAUAUAUUUACUUAAUCGCAGAUUCACUUUUAUUUUUAUCGAAUGAGUUCAUGUAUCUGAGCAAGUUGUGACCAUAUUGUUGUUUCCACGGAGCCAAUGGGGUCAAAUCUAAUAAUUCUUUGUCCAUUUUCCAUAAGGUUAAUGAUGCAUAAAUGUAAUUAGUGUGUAACACUAAAUACGUCGGUCACAACUUGCUCACAUACAUGAACUCAUUCGAUAAAUACAAAAGUGAAUCCGGAAUUAAGCUAAUAUAUGGAUCAUAGUAUUUUUCGAAAUUAUAUUAUUCUAUCAGCGUUAUCCGGUCCGGUCAUUGGUCAAGUAAUAGGCCUUGGGGGUAGUGAUCUCGAUCCGGCCCACCUCAAAUGAUCCAUAGUGGGGUACAUCUAUACUAACAUGGGUCGUCAUAUGGUGCAAAUCUCACCAACCCAUUUCCUUAUCCUGAUUGUCCACAUAAUCAUAUAUCUUAUCCUGUAUCAACCUAGGUCUCUUAUUUAUUUAAAAAAUAUUGAGAGCACUACAGGAGGGCGACUUCCCGCAGACUCGGGUAAUUUCAGGUGAGUUGGCGUGUUCCUUUGCCAUUUUUGUUCAUUUUUUGUCCUGUACUAUCUGACUAUCGAAUCAACAAGUAAAUCUUCCCUUUAGAGGAUUGUAGAAUUUGUUUACUAGAGUGAUAUUAAUUUUUGUUUUGUUAGACAUCACAACUAAAUAUCAGCGUAAUUUAGUCUAAUCCAGUACCAGUAGGAAGGUAUUGAUAAGAUGAAAUUAUAAGAAGCCUGGGCCUUCUCUUAAUGAUUUAAAUAGCACCUGAGCAUUAUCCAAGUACAAUGCUUAUCUUUCCAAAGCAACAUUCAUUAUGUUUAAACAUUCGUUUGGAACCGGUCACAUUUACAAAUUAAAAGUGGCUUAAUGUGCCGCAGGGCUCGCCAAAUGUUCAACAUUGGGUCUGUCAGCGCUAGGUGAUCAAAACUACCGAUGGUACAAAGCAAAUAUGUCCAUCCAUGGCCAAAGCAUGCUGUAUUUAAUUUUGCACCCAAAGUUUUAAAUUUUCGUAUUAUUGUUUCUUAAAACCUUGUCUUUCUAUACUGAUCUUCUGUAUUGAUGACCUAUUUGUUAUCGUUAUCAAAGAAGUUGAAAACCAGAAAGUAACCAAUACACAAGAACACUCCCAACAUGACAAUAAAAUAUGAUUUGUGUAGAUUUAGCGUGAAACAGCACACUGGAUUUAACAAAUAAAACCACUACUAUAAACUAAUUACAAGAAUCGCUCACACCUGUAUCCUUCUAGACCAUGCCCUCAUUCUCUGUUCUAGAUUAUCGCGUCCUUGCAUAACAUUUGCUUCUAGAGACCAAAACUCUCGAAUAUUACAAGUGAAUGUAUCCCAUCCAUUGAUUGGUCCGAAAGAUCCAGCAUAAUAAUUUACCAUGAACAACCACCGUACAUAAGCCUGUCAUCAAACACCAAACCAGACCUUGGUGAAAACCUUGUUCAAAAUUAGAUUGUCAGGAAAUUUGGGUGCAAGAUAGUAAAUUUGUCUACAAUAUUUGUAAGUUCCAAUAAGAUGAGAUGGAAAUGUAAAUAAAACACACGCACAAUGUAUAUAAAUAACAAACUUGACCAAAAAUGAUGAUCAAAAAACAUGAAAGAUUGAUGGGUUUAUACCAAAAAUACAAACCAUCUGAAAUUUGCAGCGCAAAAACAUGCAUCCCAACCCAUUGAUUAAAAGAUUCCACACAAAAGUCUCUUGCGUUAACAAACUUAAGGGCAAACCCAACUGGAUCCAAAAAUCCACAUUUGAGAAGAAUCAUCCCAAAUUCUCCUCCAGCGUGAUCUAGUGGAUCAAUGAAUAGUACUGGUUCAGUGAAUUUGUAUCACUACAUUCAAAUUUGGAUCACCUAAAUUUAUUAUAAAAUAAUGAUUUUGUUAAUAUUUCAAUAUCUUUCGGUUAUCGGAUUUAAAAUUAAGUUGAUGAUUAUUAAUAUUAAAAUUUAUAAUAGUUUAUAAUUAAUAAUUAAUAAAAUUAAUGUUUUAGUAAAAAGUUAAAAUAAUAGGAAAACAAAUUUCAUUGAAAUUAAAAAAAGACUACAUUACAUGCAUAAAAUAAAAAGUACGUAAUAUGCAUAAAAUGAAAUUAUAAUAUUGGCAAAUGACUAGAAAACAGUACGAUAAAUAUAAAUUUUGAUGUGAUCAAAUAGAUUAUUUUUGUUUCCUCCGAGAUAAUCAAAAUAUUGUGCGUGACUAUUCGUAUCAUUUUGGGAUCCUUGAGCUUCAUCUUCAUUCCCUUGAUUUUGAGUUGUUGAACGUGCAUUUGGAGUACUCAAAUCACAUUUUGUAAUUGUUAUCGAACCAUCACACUUUUGGAGUAAAAAUGUAGUCCAAGAUAUAGAGACUACAUGCAUUAAUGUAAUUUGUUUAUUAAUUCAAAAUAUUAAUAGUUGUUUCUCUUUUGUAUAAAAUCAACAAAAAAAUCUUAUUUUGUUUAAUAAUAUUAGCAAUUAAGUAUAUAAUUUAAACAUUAAAUUUAAGUUUAUAUAGUUUAUUAUAAAAUUUAUGUAAUAUAAUAUACAAAAUGUAAUUUGGAUCACGCUAUUGGAGUUGGUUAGAAUUUUGGAUCAGUCAGUGAUCCAAUUUUGGAUUUUUAGAUCACAACUACGGCAGAUGAUGGCCUAAGAAGAACUCAACAAAGGAAGAAACUCUGUAGGGAUGGAGCCUGGUUGCCGAUGCUUAAAAGUAGGAGAAAAGGCACCGCAUAUCAUAAAUUGUUAAAUAUCCUCAAUAUCUAAUACCAAGCCAAGACACAUAAUGAUGUAUAUGGAUUUGUGCUUUUAACGACUAAACGUUACUCCUUUUAUCUCAAAAUAAGUGACGCUUUAAUUUUUUGGUAUAAAAAAAACAUACUUUCACAAAUCAUUUUUCAAAUUUUCUUUUUCUGAAUAAAAAUAUAGAUGUUAAAGCUUUAUUCUGAAAAAGAAAUUUUGAAAAAUGAUUUGUGUAAGUAUAUUUUUUUCCCACCUCAAAUUACGUGAAAAAAAUCAAAACGACACUCAUUUUGAGACGGAGAGAGUAUAUUAUGUUAAGUUUUUUUGAGGAUUUUAGUCGUUUUUCUUGUGAGCUUGGGGAAAAAAAAGGUUAAACUCUAUAUUGUGCAAUGUCUUAAAAAAAGUUAUAAAUGUUAGACGUGUAAUGUUAUAAAGUGAUUUUGGAUCCAUAUUUUUUUUAGACCUGAUAUUUGAGGUAUUAUUGUAUAAAAUUAUGAUAAACAGGGUCAACACAUUCAAUAGUAGUCAUUUUCUACCUUAAAACUAAUUGAGGAGCUAAAGAUAAAAUAUCAAAAUACCAUGAUUUUUAUACAUCACUUUUAAAAUUAAUGAUCAAGAAUAUUACUCUAUUUAUCUUUUUGAGAAUGAGUGACCGAUUAAUUACAAUAUUUGAUGUUUAUAAUUUUUUUAUGGAUAAUUGAUAAUAUAGAUGGUAGUAUUGUGUGUUAAAUAAACGGUAACAUAUAUGUGUGGUUAGUUGUGCGGUUCUGUAUAUGAUUAAAUAUUUUGGAUAAUGAAAAAUAGAAUUUUAAGAAGGUUAUAGUUCUGAGAGUGAGUAUUGUGAUAACCUACUGUAAAAAUGCGUGUCGGUCUUUCUAAAAAUUAAAAAGUUAAUUUAUAUGGGACAUCCAUUUUGAUAAUGAAUAUAUGGGGAUACUCAUUUUAAAAAAGCAUAUGAGACUAUAAGAGUGGUAUUUUUUACCAUCUACUUAAAAAAUGAUUUUCUUCUAAAAAAACUUUAAAAUAUGAUAUCUUUGGCUUUCACGUACCCGGACUAACUAAAUAAUCUAUCAAAUUCUUAUUGAGUAAAAAAUUUACCAUUAAAAGUCGGCUUGAUUUGAAGUAUUUCCUUAGCAUUGAGGUUGUUAGAAUUGAAGCCAGAAUUUCCCAGUCAAUUGUAUACGUUUUUUUUCACUGCUUGACACGUUUUUUAAGGUUCUUAUAUAACGUAGUUCCACAACUUAUUUUUAAAAUUUUCUUUUUUUUAUAAAAAUAUAUACAAAAAAGAAAAUCUUAAAAAUAAUUUACAGACUAUACUAUUGAAGAAUUAAAAUCCAUGCCGCGUCCGUACCCAUUUAUACUAUUGAGCGGGACGGAGAGGGAGUAGCUAAUACUCACUUUGGCUGAUUGUACACCAGCUGCUUUUCCAUUAUUAAAAGGCUUGCAUCCAAGUACAAAGGAUGUUUCAAAGUUGCCUGACCCAGAAGUGUAUAGAAGAUUUAUCGAAAAAUUGCACUAUUUGAACUCAAGUAGGUUUGAUAUUUCAUAUGUUGUUCAACAACUUUUUUAAUUAGUUUCACCAAGAACCAGCUCAUCAGCCACAUUAUGAUGUUGCUCUUCAUGUCUUAAAAUAACUUGAAAAUUUCAUUGAAUGUUGGUGUGUUUUACAAAGCUAAUACUCCUCUGCAAUUAACUGCAUAUUUAGAUGCAGACUAGGGAACUUGUUCAUUUUCUGCAAAAUCCUUGUCUGGGUAUGCUAUUUUCCGGGGUUCUUCCUUAGUUUCUUGGAAAAUUAAGAAGCAAAAAAAGUAUCUAAAAGUAGUACAGAAGCUGAGUAUAUAAGUAUGAGCUAUACAACUUCUAAGUUGAUUUAUCUUAAAGGUUUUUUAAGGGAUCUUUGUGAUCAAAUUCCUUUGCCAAUUGAUCUUUAUUGUGAUAACACUUCAGCUCACCACAUUGCAAAGAAGCAAAUCUUCCAAGAAAGAACUAAACAUUUGAAGAUUAACUGUCAUUUUAUUCUAGAUUAUGUUGAUUCUGAGUUCAUUCGAAUUUCACAUAUUAGUACUUUCAUUGAGCUAGCUGAUAUACUGACAAAGCCACUGGAUGCUGCUCAUCACAAGUUUCUUAGUAUCAAGCUUGGUCUUCAAUUUGAUCCUCUUUGAUGCCUAGCUUGAAGGGGGUAUUGAUCUAUGUACAUGUAUUGUAAAUAAAUGUUCUAGACGCUUCCAGCUACAUUUUUAUUUAGAGUAGUUACAGGAAUAUUCUAUUUGAUUGUAAAUACAGCUGAUGGAGCAACAAGUCAAUUUUAACAGUUUCAUUCUGUUCAUUCUCUCUCUAACAAACUUGAAUCACACUAAUGAAAAUCAAAUAAGCUUUAUCUUAAUAUUUUCCGCUCCCUUAAUGCGCUGAAAGUGCUAUGUGACGGGAUUUCUCUUCUCCCAAAACAGUGUGCAAUUGUUGAUUGAAAAAUAUUUAACUUUUAGGCACUAGAGGAUGAUGAAGCUUUUUGCUGAUCAACACUUGAGAGGCAGUUUCUCUGUCUCGGUACCACUAAAUACAUGCUUCAGACAAGGAUUAGAAGGUUGAUUUUAUGUUUGAUUAUGUUAAAAACUCAAAUAACUGGACACCUAACUAUUAAAGGCAGAGCUAUCAGACAACUAAAAAUUUUGAUCAUCCUUGGUAUUUGUAGGGCAAGUUGUGUCUUGGUAAGCAGAGACACAUAUCCCAAACUUCUCCAACCUUGCUAUACAUUCUGUAUUUGUAGGACAUCACCAUGUGCUACUGACUUAUUAUUUCAUUUUCAGUGUUCAAAAAACCUUCUAUAUAAACAUAGGUAUUUGUAUAUAAACCUUCUAUAUAAACCUUCUAUAUAAACCUUAUUAUUUCUGUGAUCAUAUUUACUCUGAGACCGAAAUUGAUCAAGCAUCGACCUGCAGAAGAUACUUGGCAAGGUAUAACAAUAAUGCUUCAAGUUACGAUUCUGUUUGCUUUAAGUUAAAUCUGCAGCACAUGCAUUAUUUCAUUUAUGUUAUGUCAGCUUGUCUUGUUUAUUGAGCUUGACUCAAGAAAUGAUAUUAGAAAGAAAACGUUGUAGUUAUAAUUGUCAGAUUGUAUUCAUUAUUGAGCAUUAUUUAUGAAAUGGUAUCAAAAACAUUUUCAACAAUAGCCAUUUCAGCAAACAAAUCUCCUGUAUUUCCAUCGCGAAGAUGCAUAAAAAGUGGUCAAUUUAUAAACAAUUUAUAUCUCCUAGUUAUAUCCUUUGACCGGAUUAUUUAGCUUCAAAAUGCCAGCAAUUAAAUCAACAUUUGCAUCUAAUUGUGUGUAAGAAGUAUGGCUUCCUGAAGAAAUUGAAAGCAUUAGCAAUAUACUAACUUUCUUUUGGAUUUUUUUGUAGAAGAAUUAUGUUGAUUAAAUCUUUUCUGACAGUCAACUUAUUUCCAGUGGUUUCUAUUUCUUCAUGUAUUAUUUGCAUAUACAGCAAAACAAUUAGCAGCGACGUCUAUGGAUAUAAAGAAGUUGCUGGAUAUCUAGUAGGUGAAAAAUACAUUGUCACAUGAAGACCUAAUUUGUGAACCCCGCCAUAAAAUUAUUGACAACAAAACUAAAUUAUGCCUCUAUGAAAAUUGUUGGACAUCAGGCGUCCAUUUCAAGAAAAUGUCACUUUCUGUAAUCUAUUGUGGAUGAUUUGCGUAGAGAUUGAUAAGUAGGGGCAUGCUGUCUUGCAACAGACAGAGAAGUCAUUCUAUCACUCAUAAAUUUAUGUAGCAAUUGAAAGAGAAAAUCAUGUGCUAUUGUCUAAUGCCUCCUCACUACUUGAUGUACAAAUUGAUGAACUGUUCAACAUUUUCUAUAUUUCUAUAUAAAUACACAACGGGGCAUUAGUAAAAUUCAUCACAAACGCAAUCAUCUAAAGUCUUCAUUAUCAAGUUCUUUUCUUUCUCCAUAUUCUCUAAACAAUCUAGGAGUAUUAUGGGUAUUCGUAUGCCUCGUGUUACUAAUCUCAAGAAAAUCCUUAACCAGUCAUCAUUCUUGUUAAGUCCCGAUUAUACUUCAACAGUUCCAAAGGGAUGCUUGGCAGUAUAUAUUGGGGAGAAGCAAAGAAGAAGAUUUGUGGUUCCCAUUUCAUGCCUGAAUGAUCCUGCCUUCCAAGAUCUGUUAAAUCAAGCUGAUGAAGAAUUUGGGUUCAGCCAACCAGAAGGCGGCCUCACUAUUCCCUGCUCAGUGGACACAUUCAUUCACCUUACUUCACGCCUAGAUAGAUUAUAGUGAGAAAACAUUUGUGUACUGGUAGAUAGUACAGCAUUGAAAUGUACAUAGUAGAAUAGGGAUUUUUAUCAGAUUUUUGUUGGCAACGCAUAAUUUGAAACUCACCACUUUGUCCGAUCUAAAAUUACCAUAGUAGAUAGAUUAUAGCUUAUUCUUAUAAAUCUAGAUCAAUAUAUAGAACGCCUGACAGAAAAAAGAGAUCAAAAUAUAGAACGAAAAAGUUUGAUACUCAAAUCAGUAACUUUUGCAUGUGACCUAAAGCUAAUUCUCUGAAGGCAGGGACUUUUAAAUAUCUUAAACUUAUCUACCCAGAACCUAUAUAUGAUGUUCUUGAUAAAAACAGCAAAUUUCAGAUGCAAUGAUUGUUGAAUGCAGACAGGUUUACAUAUAGUCCCUAGAUACUAAAAUGAAAAAAAAAAAAGGAAUGAAACAUCCAUCCAACAAAAAACCAGCACAGUGAAAUUGGAGGGUUGAGUCUGUCAACUAUUAGAGUGAAAUUAUAUAAACUUGUUCUUCACAUCCAUCCAAAGAGAUCUCGGUAAUUCCAGGAUAGCAAUAUGUAUGAAUAAAUAGAUAUUAAUUAACUAAGCAAAAGAAAUUCUUCACUGGUAUCUAAAAAUCAUAUUUCUGUGUAAUGAGAUGGUUACUCUAAUUUUCCCUAGGUUAUCAAAUGAGGGGGAUUGACUAGUAUACAUUAUAAACUAGAACCAUGCAAAACUGUUAGUACCAGAUAAUAGCUAUUUGUUUCUUAUAUCUGUGCAAGACUAAAGUGCGGUUAAUGAAUGUCUUCUCUACAUGGAAAAGCCACUUCAGACUAUAAAGACAUGGAAUGUAUAAAGCUGCUUAUCUAUAUUUCAAAUAAUAAGUACUUAUAAAGAUAUAUAAUGACUUCAUACUGAUUGCAGAGAUCAAAUCCAUGUAGAAAUUAAUGUAAUCAAAUUACAAAGUAUCAGUUAAUGCUCUACCAAAAAGAUCUAUAUGAGAGUCAUAUAUAAAAUUUCUGGACUAGUCUACAAAAUUGUACACUAUCUAACAAAAUAUAUAUAAACUCUCAUAAUCUGUUCAAGAGAUCAAUGAAGGUGUCUUCUUUGCAUGGUAUUGUGAGGCCACGUUCUGGAUGACUGAACCCAAAUUCUUCCUCAGCUUGACUUAACAGGUCUUGGAACGUAGGCUCAUUUAAGUAAGAGAUCGGAACGACAAAUCUUCUUCUUUGGUUCUCCCCGACAUAAACUGCUAUACAUCCCUUGGGGACAUUUGUACUGCGAUCAAGAUUUUUUAAGGAAAAUUGUCUGUUGAGAAUUUGCUUGAGAUUAGUGAUAUGAGGCACACGAAUACCCAUGAUGCUCAAGAAAAAUUGAAACUUCAACGGAUAUGGAGAAACCAAGAACUUCUGCAGAUGGUAGGCUUAGACCCUUAAUUACACUUGAUUUUGAGAUGAAUUUGGUUGAGGAGAUCACAGUUUUUAUAUCGAAAUAACAAGUAAUGAGCGGUUGAUGAAAAUGUAGAUUGAGUGGAACAGAUGCAUUAGGCAAUAGCACAUGCUAUUCUCUUUAAAAGGCCACACAUAUUUAAGAGUAAUGCUAGGACUUGAAUCUCUACUGAGAGACAUCAUGUCCUACAAAUAUGGACCUGAUAUACGACAGAAUAUAACGUAAUAUAUACGGAUAUGAACAACGUACAAUUAAUUUGGCUGGAAAGUCCCCACUUUGCCUGGCAAGCAAGGUAUUUGUGGUCAGUAGUUAGGUGCUCAUGUGAUAGUGUUUUCAUUCACCUAUCCUAGAUGUGAAUUUUGUGUAGUAGGAAACACCUGAUACAAGUUGUUAUAUCCAUGAAAGGAAGGGCAAAUUUAUUGAAGAAACAGAUUAAUGGACUGUUAGGAUUUUGUGUGGUAGGAAACACCUCAUAUAAGUUUUCAUAUAUUUAUAUUCACAAAACAAAUAGUAAAUCAGAAUGGGACAGGUAGAUUGUUAAAAUACAACCCUUAAUAUAACUCGGUCUUCUUGGCAUGCUUAAAAAUAAAUCCGCUCACCCCAAAACCGAUAAUAUCCGGUAUGAGUUAAAAGAAAUAAAUUAAAUUCUGGAAAAGAAGAACUAAGUUCCGAGAAAAAAGAAGGUAAAGACUCCUCCGAAGACCAGAAAUAUAUAAGAACACGGUCAAACUUUUAAUGUGACAUUAAAAAUUAAGACUAGCACAAAAGCCCCUGCGAGGCAAAGUUUAAAUGUGAAAUUAGAAACUAAGACCAGCACAAAAACCCCUACGAGGCACAUGCUUUUAAUUUAAAUCAUGUUUCUAAUUGAUUGUUUAUUAUAUUUAUAGAAUUUAAAUUUUAAUGUAUUUGUUUGUUUUUAAAUUUUAAAUUGAACUUUUUGAUACCUCUGUGUAUUCUACUGUAAUUGAUACUCGAUUUAUUGUUAGCAAUUCAAUAUUAGCAAGAUAUAUUAAUUAAAAUUAUCCUCAUUGACACAGUUUCUGUUUAAUAAAACUCUUAAAACAUUUGUAACAUACUAAACCAACAAAACAGACCUCUAGCAAAGGUUGAUAGUAUAGUCAUCAGCAUGCUCAAAACAUGUAAAAGUUUACAUGAAAGUCUCAGUCAGAAUUAAUAUUCCUAGACUAGUUCACAGAGUUUGUACACUAUCUAACAAAAUUUAACUAUGUCAUAUCUGCAGACAUAUAAACUUUCAUAAUCUGUUUAAGACAUCAAUGAAAGUGUCUUCUUUGCAUGGAAUUGUGAGGCCACCUUCCGGAUGAGUAAACCCAAAUUCUUCCUCAGCUUGACUUAACAGGUCUUGGAAUGUAGGCUCAUUUAAGUAGGAGACCGGAACCACAAAUCUUCUUCUUUGGUUCUCCCCAACAUAAACUGCCAUGCAUCCCUUGGGGACAUAUGUACUCCCAUCAAGAUUUGUAGAGGAAAAUUGCCGGUUGAGAAUUUGCUUGAGAUUAGUGACACGAGGCAUGCGGAUACCCAUGAUGCUAAUGAAAAAUUAAAGUUUUCAGAGUAAACUUUGGGGAUAUGCAAUUACAAGGACCUCUGCAGAUUGAAGCUUCGACACUAGAAUACACUCAAUUCUGAAAUGACUUUGCUAAGUUUCCAACAGUGUUUAUAUAGAACGGACAGAAUGUAUUGAGCUGUUGAUCAAAUUGCAGAUUGAGUGACACAGAUGCAUUAGGCAUUAGCACAUGCUAUGCCUAAGGGUACGUAGGACUCUUAUGUCUGUGAGUGACAUCUUGUCCUACUACUUAAUUGUGUUGAACAAUUCUUAACCUGAUUGUUUCUUAUCUAUAACAGAGUUUAUACUAAGGUCAUCGACAUACAUAUAAUGGCUAGAAACUGUCAAGUUCGAUAGGCAAGAAAUCAAAUCUCAUGCUUUUAUUGGUCAUAUAUAGCUGUAGGUGGGACAGGCAAGUUUCAUGCUCAUGUGAUGGUGUUCUCUUGACCCACAUAAGUCAUGCUGCAUUAUGUGAAAAUAUCACUUGGAGCUGGAAGAAGCAGUGUCACAUGAACACUUAUUAUUUCAACCCCACCAUAAUCAGUGCAGACAAACCCAAUACAUAAAAUCCUUUGGAGGAGUCUUUAGCUAUAUACUAGUGAUUUUGUGUGCUCCAUGUUAAAUCUGCAGUGCUUUUAUGCCUUUUCUUUAAUUUUUAUUUUACUUAUACACAUAUAACUGUAGGACAUCAACAAACGUAUUCCAGGCCAAGAUUACAUAUUGAGUCGUGAUUUAUUACUAGGACAUUAUGUCUCCCAACACAUAAGAUGUCCGCUUAUCAGCCAUUAAUACAUGUAGCUAGUGAAAGAGAAAAUCAUGUGCUAGUGUCUAAUGCCUACCCACUGCUCAAUGUACAACUUGAUGAGAUGUUCUAUUCAAAUUGUUGAUUGUUCUAUAUAAACACAUAAUUAAGCGAUACUAACAUUCAUCAUAAACACACUGGUCCAAAGUCUUUUCCUUAAAACUAUACAAGUCCUAGUGUUUCUUCAGUUUCCUGAACUCUUCUCUGAAAGAUCUAUAGUGUCAUGGGUAUCCGUAUGCCUCGUAUUACUAGUCUCAAACAAAUUCUUAACCGCUCAUCUUUCUUAUUAAAUCCUGAUCUAUCUUCAACAAUUCCAAAGGGGUGCUUGGCAGUUUAUAUUGGGGAGAGGCAAAGAAGCCGAUUUGUGGUACCCAUUUCAUACCAGAAUGAGCCUGCCUUUCAAGAUUUGUUAAGUCAAGCCGAGGAAGAAUUUGGAUUCAAUCAUCCGGAAGGAGGGCUUACCAUUCCUUGCUCAGUGGACACAUUCAAUGAAAUCACUUCGCGCCUGAACAAUCUAUAUACUUGUAGAUAGUAUAGCACCUCCGAUCUCAUUUAUUGAGUUUCUGAGUGUAAACUGUAGAACAUACAGAUUUUGUAGGGGAAGCAUAAUUUGAUACUCAAACUUUUUGAACAUAUUGACCAUCACUUAUGCUCAUGUUUACUUGUUAUUUUCUAUAAAGCAUAUCACCAAGUGUUUGACGAUAAACUUUAUGCCUAAACCAAAUCACCAACAAAUUUACAGGUUCUGUAGUUACUCUUUCAUACCUGAAUCUUGCAAUCGUCUUGAAAAAUCAGCACUGACACAGGGUUGCUAGCUCAAAAAUCAAAAUUAAAAUUUAUGAACAGUUCUAACUAAUUAAUAAAUAUAUGUCUUGCAUAGUCAGUGGAGAAACCAGAACUAAAAUCUUGGGGUGGCUCAAAUAUUUAAUUAUAUUCCUAAGCACUUUUAUUACUGAUGGUCACAUCAAAAAGAGAUUAAAUAUUUUUAUAUGAUGUGACCCCCGCCGUGUAUCUCCCGCUCGAGUUAAACAAGUUUCUCUAUUCUUCUUUUUUUCCAGAAAAUAUCUCACCACUUUCGAAACAUUUCAGUGUAAGUUCAUAAUGUCUUUGUCGAAACAUAUCCAUUCUCUUACACGAAUCAUCAACAAAUUCACAAUACGACAAAGAUGACCAGAAAAAUCACUUACUACAUGAGAACAUUUAGCCAUAGCAACAACUAAUAACUGCAAUUUCAUGACUCUAAUGGUGAUUUAAAGUAAUGCAAUAUGAUGACUCUCCUGGUAGUUUAAUGUAAUUCGAGAGUACCAAAUUAGACUACCACAAUUCAAUAAUUCAGAAUUAACGAAGAAGUCUCUAAAUUAUCAUUCUAAUUAGUAAGGACUUCCCAGAUCAAUUUCAGGAUCAAACGACGACAUAUGUGUUAGAGAGAACCUUUUAAACUCUAUUUCUCGGGCAUCCCCCAAUUAACAAUUUCAUUAUACAAAAUCAUAAAAGAUACAAAAAUAUUAAAGACUAACAAUUUAUCCAAGAAUCAAGAAGGUCAAUCACAAAACGUGAUAAAAAUAAAAGGAUAAUCAAUCAAUUUAUCAUACCUUGAAAUUUAAAAAGCAAGUGAGAAGUCAGAGUAUUGAGUAAACACGAAAACACUGAGUGAAUCUAGAGAGGGAAAUAGAAGGAUAACGUCGGGUGUACUUUAUUCGACAUUUUAAAAAAUUAUGUUGACAUCUGUAAUUUAGCAGAGGCUAAAAAAAAAAUAUCCACCGUUUUUUGAGGUCAUGGGUAGCUUUAGCAUCCCCUAGCCCUCUCUGGUUGUGCCACUGUGCAUAGUUUAAUUUAUAUAAGUCAUUUAUUAUCAUGAAUACUCCUUUUGCUCUUGAGCCUACGAGAUAUUAACGAUGCGCAUAUCAACCUAUGCAGUAUUGUAGCUAACAUGUUAAGUAUCGCGUCUGGGAGUACUUUCGCAAGAAUGAAACCUUUUGUCAUUGAACUUCCCAAUCAAAAUUAUCGUAAGACCUUGUGAUGAUCAACCUUUUGAGGAUCCAAUUGUAUUCCGGCUUCCCAAUAAAUUAAGUUAAAAUUUUGUAAUUUCACUACAAAGUUUUCCAAUCUAAUAAAAAUUAAAAUAAAUACCUAAUAUACAAAUUUUAUAAGAAGUUAAUCGAAACUGCCCUAACAAUUUCACAUUCUAUCUCAGGGACUGGGAAAGUAAAUUUUAGAGGUUAACAGACUAAGAUUGGUAUUGUUAACCAUACAGGAAAAAUAAAAUUUGCGAACUAAACGUAUAUAUUUGAGAUGAGAACCAAUAUACAAAAAAAUCUACAAGAAAGAAUAAUUUCGUGUAUUAAUUGAUGCCUAAAAGAUUCACAUUGUAAGUCUCACUAUAUAACAUAUCUGGACAAGUAUGAUAGACGUACAAUUAUUGACAAUAUCAGAAGUGCCAUGUAUAAUGCUAAAACAAAGAGACAUGCCCAAGUUAGAUUUAAGUAUAUAAGGGGUUUAUUGUUUGAUCGGAAUAUAGUUAUGAGUUUAUUGGAACUCAAGAUAAUAUAGCUACUCCAUGAGCAUGUUGUUAUUCUUAAGUCGAGGUUUUGGUUGGGACUGAUAACUCAUCAUGAUUCAUCUGCAACGGGAACCGAAUACAUCUUAGAGGAGAUCCUCCAAGUGUAUUUAAUAGAGUAAUAAAAAGCUAUAAGGGUGGUGACAACUGCAAGUAUAACAAGAGUUUUUAGAACUCUGAACGGGGUCAUGUUAUUAGACAAAAUCUCUGAAGAUGCCCAUCUAAGCGAAUGUAAUUGUGAGGUCGCAAUUAGAUGAAAGGGUUAUUCCUUGAAGCAUUCGACGAACAUAAUCGAGACACGACCAUUAAUGUCUCAAAACCGUAGAUUAGCACCAUAACCUUUGACUUGUCAUCGUCUAUGGAGCGUGGUUACACCCAACGAAUAGAUAUUCAAGGUGAAACAAUCCAUCUAUAUCUGAAAGCCACCGAAGUAGGAGAUUUAUGAGGGUUCUAACCCGGAAGGAUACCAAUUUUGAAAGCCAGGCAUGAUGAAGACUGAUAUGCAAUUUUGUGUGGAUAUAUGGGGAUUGUUGAAAAAUGGAAAGUUUGAGGCAUUUUUUAAAUAUGUUUUUGAUGUAAUUUCUGGAAACUAAUAGUUGGUGGCUGUCCCUUGCUAACAGGACUUAAACUUUCAUGUUUGGAUCUAAGACAUUUUCUUAGUGUAAUCCAUAAAUAAAUUGAGUUGAAAUGGCUAGCUUGAAGUGGGUCAUGUGGUUGCCUGAAUUGUAGCAACUUGAAUACCAUAUUGAUUUGAUAAUGAAAGUUUGGUGGUUUUAUAGUACAUCACAUGCAAGCGUAGUGCACUAACUACUAAGGUGUGAAGCCGUAGGUGUGCCAUUGCUUCAUGCGGAGCUCCCACGCGCGGCGCGCAUGUGUGCCCUUCACCGUCUCGCAGUUUUGUGUGCUCCCACACGCGCGUGCCUUCACCAUCUCCGUGUGGAACUUAGUAGAUAAAGAAGAUUUUUCUUGAUUAUAAGCAGUCAAAAAUCUCCAUUAAUAUGUAAGAGCAGUGGCGGUGGCACGUGGGGGCCCGGGGGGACACGUGCCCCCGUAGAGUUUUCUAAAAAAAAAAAAAAAAAAUUUUUUUUUUUUGUAGGACCCACUUACUUUACCAAGUUGUAUACUCCUGUACAUACUUUUCACAGCUGAUCACAUAUAAUCCCUAGAGCUUCUUCGGCUCCUUUUACACAAACCACAACCCAAAAGCCAAAAUCAAACGAUAACACCUGCAUCAUCACUUAUCCGGGCAAGGGGGUGAUUCCUUUUCAUAUUUCUUCAACAAUUCCUUUAUCAGGUAAUUUCUCUUCUCUGCAUCAUCAUUAAUUUUCUUUGUAUUCUUGUAGUUGUAUAUAUGUUGAGUUUUAAGUGUUGUAAGACUAAAGAGUGAUGGAUUGUUGUUUAUAUAUUUGGAUUGUGAAUUGUGAUUAAAUAGUGAAUUAGCGAUGAUCUUCUUGUAUUAAAAUUUACUGUGUAGUUAUAGUUCUCAUUCUGGGCUUCUAGGAUAUUUUUCAAGAAUAGUCAGUAGAUAUCUUAGAAUUUUAAAAUCUCUUGUAAUUAUUUGGUCAUGCUUCUAUUAAACAGAAAUGGAGAGAUUUUAUAAAAGGAAGUCAGAAGCGGAAGCUGUUGUGCCGCCUGUGCCAGUGCCACCAACCGUAGUAGCUGAAAAUUCUCAAAAUAUUAUAAGAGAUGAAAGCAGAGUGAUCAAUUUAGCGACACUUGAGUCUGAUCCAGGGCUGAGGAUUCCAAUUGAAAAUUAUAAUGUUAAUAUACAAGAUGAAGUCAGGAGAAGAUACAUGCUUCAAGGUCCUUGCCAACCGGACAAUCAUAUAUUUCCAUUGACAAAGUUUGGACAAAAAUGCAGAAGAUUCAACCCAAAAUGGUUUAAAGAAUUUUCAAAUUGGUUGGAGAAUUCUAUAAUUGAUAUGCAACUCCAAGAAUUAAAUAGUCGUUUUGAUGAGGUGAAUACUACAUUACUUCUCUGCAUUUCUUGUUUGUGCCCGGAUGAUUUGUUUGUUGCUUUUGAUAAACAAAAGUUAAUUCAACUUGGUGGGUGUUAUCCUGAAGACUUUUCUCCGAUUGAACUCCUGGCCCUUGAUGACCAACUUCAGAAUUAUAUAACCGAUAUGCUGUCAAGUAUUGAAUUUUCUGAUUUGAAAGGGAUUACCGCUCUUGCCAAAAAAAUGGUUGAACUAGGAAGGGACAAAGUGUAUCCUCUGGUAUACAAGUUACUAACAUUGUCUUUGAUCUUGCCAGUGGCAACAGCAAGCGUGGAAAGAGUAUUUUCAGGAAUGCAUCUUGUUAAGACAAAGCUGCGAAAUCGCAUUGGAGAUCAGUGGUUAAAUGAUAGUUUAGUUAUAUAUAUCGAAAGGGAAAUUUUUGAUUGCGUUGACAAUGAACUGAUCAUGCAGCGAUUCCAAAACAUGAAAACUCGUCGUGGAAACUUGUAAUAUUAUCACAUGAACUUGUAAAUAUUUUUGCUAUAUAUUUAUAUAUUUUAUUUUGUUGCUGGAAAUUUAUAUGGUGCCCCCACUCGCUAAAAGUCCUGGCUCCGCCACUGUGUGUGAGGCAACACGAUGUAGCGUUCUUAUGUUUUUACAUGGGCUUGGGUUCUUAUGUUUUUACAUGGGCUUGGGAUUGAAACGCUAUAUAACGUAAUGUUAAAAUAUUAUCAGCAAUAGCCCUAUAUUCUGGUUCUGGAGUUGAUCUGAAGACUGCAGGCUGUAUCUUAGAUUUUAGAAAUCUAGGAGAUGUUCUGAUUACAAUGAGACAGCAGAUUUUCUUGUGUCUUGGCAACCUGCUCUGCAUGUAGUGACAUAUGAUUUUCUUGUGAAAAACAAAUGGAACGAAACGUGAAGCUUAUCAGUGGCUUACAUGAAGACUACAAAAAAACCCUGCACAACUGAAAUUGGAGGGUUGAGCCUAUCACUGAUCUCUAAAAAACAUAUUUCUGUGUAAUGAGAUGGUUACUUUAAUCUUCCCAAGGUUACAAAAUGGAAGUGGAUUGACUACUAUACAUUACAAACUAGAACCUUGCAAAUUGUUAGUACCAUGCAUAUAAUAGCUAUUUCAAAUAAAAAGUACUUAUGAAGAUAUAAAAUGACUACAUAAUGAUUGCAGAGAUCAAAUCCUUGUAGAAAUUAAUGUAAUCAAAUUACAAAGUAUCAGCUAAUGCUCUACCUAAAAGAUGUAUAUGAGAGUCGUAUAUAAAAUUUCUGGACUAGUUACAAAAUUUGUGUACACUAUCUAACAAAAUAUAUAUAAACCCUCAUAAUCUGUUCAACAGAUCAAUGAAGGUGUCUUCUUUGCAUGGUAUUGUUAGGCCACCUUCUGGAUGAGUAAACCCAAAUUCUUCCUCAGCUUGACUUAACAGGUCUUGAAACGUAGGCUCAUUCAAGUAAGAGAUCGGAACUACAAAUCUUCUUCUUUGGUUCUCCCCAACAUACACUGCAAUACAUCCCUUGGGGACAUUUGUACUGCGAUCAAGAUUUCUUAAGGAAAAUUGUCUGUUGAGAAUUUGCUUGAGAUUAGUGACAUGAGGCACACGAAUACCCAUGAUGCUCAAGAAAAAUUGAAACUUCAACAAAUAUGGAGAAUACAAGAACUUGAUUUUGAGAUGAAUUUGGUUGAGGAGAUCACAGUUUUUAUAUAGAAAUAACAAGUAAUGAGUGGUUGAUGAAGAUGCAGAUUGAGUGGCACAGAUGCAUUGGGCAUUAGCACAUGCUAUUCUCUUUCAAAGGCCACACAAAAUUAAGAGUAAUGCUAGUGCUAGGACAUGAAUGUCUGUUGAGAGACAUCAUGUCCUACUGUUUCGGUUCAACAAAUCUGGACCUGAUAUUUUCUCAUUUAAAUUUACGUUUUAUGCUGAUACAUGCUUCAGACAAGGAUUAGAAGGUUGAUUUUAUGUUUGAUUAUGUUAAAAUUGAAAUAACUGGACACCUAAAUAUUAAAGGCAGAGCUAUCAGACAACUAAGAAAUUUGAUUAUCCUUGGUAAUUGUAGGGCAAGUUGUGUCUUGGUAAGCAGAGACAUAUAUCCCAAACUCCUCCAACCUUGCUAUUGAUUCUGUAUUUGUAGGACAUCACCAUGUGCUAGUGACUUAUUAUUUCAUUGUCAGUGUUCAAGAAGCCUUCUAUAUAAACAUAGGGAUUUUGACAUAAAUCAACACAAGCUUAGUAGCAAACCUUUAUUUCUUUCAUCCAGCAUCCUCUAGUCCUUUCCCUCUCGACAUCCAUUCUAAGAACACUAACUUAGAAUCAUGGGUAUCCGCAUGCCUCAUAUUCCUCAUGUCAAGAAAAUCUUUCAGGGGUCUUCUUUUGCAGCUACAGCAGUUUCAGACGUCCCAAAGGGCUGCUUGGCAGUUUAAGUUGGGGAUAGCCAGAGAAAAAGAUUUGUUGUUCCAAUUUCAUACUUGGCUGAGCCUGCCUUCCAGGACUUGCUAUGUCAAGCUGAGGAAGAAUUUGGUUUUGAUCAUCCAGAUGGGGGUCUUACAAUUCCCUGCAGAGAAGAUGUGUUUACAGACCUCGCCUCAAGCUUGAGAAGAAAAUAAUAGAGAACAACCUGAUCAAAAUAAGUAGUUUAGAAAUUUUUUGUAAGCUAGUAGGAGAUAAGUUAGAAAAGGUUGGACCAUAGGCAUUUAUGCAAAAGCUUUCUUCCUGUAUCUCAUGGAAUCAUUUUCAAUGAGGAAGAUCGUCACUCAGAAUUUUGUAUAAUAUGAAACUAUAUACAUCCCGAUUAUAUUUUUAAGAUCUAAUUAUGUUGUUUGCAAAUAACUUCCUAUCUGUAAUCAGUUCCACGUUAUUCUGAAAUUGAUCGAAAUUGGCAUAGAAUAGUGUUUUAACAGAUAAAUCUAUUCAAAAUUGAUAUGGGAGAAAGCAGCCCCUUAUUUUAUAUUCCUAUAUUUCAGAAAGAAUUAGUCAUAACCUAUCUACAGUUGCUCUGUGAUCAUAUUUACUGUGAGCCCGAAAUUCAUCAAGAUUCCACCUGCAGAAGAUACUUGGCAAGGUAUACCAAUGCUUCAAGUUAUGAUUCUGCUUGCUUCAAGUUAAAUUUGCAGCACAUACAUUAUUUCAUUUUUAUGCUAUAUAUUGAUCACCUAUACAAAAAAUGUGCUACAUUAUGCGUUCCACAAAUGUAUACCUGAUCAAGACUUGAUAUGAAAUUACAAAUUCAAAUGGGAACUUUAAGUUGAUAUUUUCCCCUAUAUUUCUGUGUUACUGAUCUGUCUAUAUCAACUAAUCUUUCUUGGUAAAUUUUGAUUAUAUAAAACCGUUUAUGUUGGGGAGAGAGAAAGGAGAAGAACUAUUGUCUAUUGAGAAGUCAUAUUUCUCAUGGACCCAGUCGAAUGCUUAUACAUAGAAGAACAGAGAAGUCAUUAAUAAUUAAACAUCAAUCAAGAAAUUACAGUAGAAAGUAGCACAUCAGUUUGUACCUGCAUUACCUUACUACUUCUGGUACUCUAAUAAUAAUUCAAAAUAUAAUAUAUUUGCUCAGACAAGGAUUAGAUGUUAUAAUUCCUGUGUGAUAAUGUUUAAAACCUCCAAAAAUAGACAACCUAUAAAUUCAAGAUUAUCAUAUAUAAUACGGCAGGUUGUGUCUUGGUAGUCAUAGACAUAUAUUCCACACUCAUACAGUCUUGCUAUUCAUCUGAUGAUUUAUUAUCACCAAUAUAUAUGCAUUAGUAGUCCUUAAUUUACUAUUUAAGAACUGCUUCAUCUGCUGUAUAAGCACGUCAUUGGGAUUUUAACAAAAACCAUUUCAAGCUUAACUGUUUACCUACAUUUGUUCGUCUAGCCAUUGGUUAGUCAUCUACCUCAUAACAUUCAUUCCAAAUAAAGCCACUUACAAUCAUGGCUAUUCUUCACCGAUCUUAUUUUGGAAGAUAUACCAUGACUGCAGCUACUGUCCGAAAUAGAUUCUUUGCAAUUUAUGCCGGGGAGAGGCAAAGAACAUAAUUUAUUGUCCCAAUUUCAUGCUUGAGUGAGCGUGCCUUUUAAGACUUGUUAAGUUAAGCUGAGGAAGAAUUCGGGUUUGAUCAUCCAGAGGGGGGUUCUUACUAUUCCCUGCAGAGAAGAUAUCUUUACAGAUCUCAAGUCAGGCUUGAGCAGAAAAUCAUGAAGACGAACAUGAUCAGAACAAGUAGUGCAGAAAAUUUUGUAAACUAGUGAAUACAUAUUAACUAUAAAUGUCAGAUUGUCUUUUGUUUAUUGAGCUUGUCUCAAUAAAUGAUAUUAGAAACAAUACGAUGUAGUUAUAUUUGUCAGAUUGUCUUCAUUAUUGAGCUUUAUUCAUGAAAUGGUAUCAAAAACAGGUUCGGCAAUAGUCAUUUAAGCAAACAAUUUUCAUGUAUUUCCAUAGCAAAAAUCAUUGCAUAAAAAGUUGUCAAUUCAUAAGCAAUUUAUAUCUCCUAGUUAUAUCCUUUGACCUGAUUAUUUAGCUUGAAAAUGCCGUCCUCAAAUAUAUCAUUUCCACAUAUUUCAGCAGUUAAAUCAACAUUUGCAUCUAAUUGUGUGUAAGAAGUAUGGUUUCCUGAAGAAAUUGAAAGCAUUAGCAUCUAAUUGCAUUAGAAAUUGAAAUCAACAUUUGCAUCUAAUUGUGUGUAAGAAACUCCUUAACCCGUCAUCUUUCUUGUUAAGUCCUAAUUAUACUUCAACAGUUCCAAUGGGUUGAUUUGUGGUUCCCAUUUCAUACCUGAAUGAUCCUGCCUUCCAAGACUUGUUAAAUCAAGCUGAGGAAGAAUUUGGGUUCAGCCAACCAGAAGGCGGCCUCACUAUUCCCUGCUCAGUGGACACAUUCAUUCACCUUACUUUACGCCUA